rnacentral:lncRNA from 1 species
UUGGUUCUGGCAAAUGGAUCACAAUUACAGGUACCUGGGAGCAUACCGAUGGAAUGAACGAAAUACGAACAGUUAACAUAAUAUGGUCAUAGAUCUUGGCUUCUAACUUGAUCAUGAGCGAAUUUGUUGAUGUUGCACCCAUGAAGUAUGGAAAGUGCCAAACAUUGGGAACUACCCGGGGAGGAGUUAGGAACAGGAACAAGGAGAAGCGAGAACCACUUAAAUAGAGGAAUCGAUUGUAUUUCGUCCUUUGUUCCUCAUAGCAACUGGGGAUCAAAAAGCACCAAAUUUGAUGACUUAUUAAGGGAAAGACGAAGUAAGAGCAUGCUAUUGGAGACGUUGCAACAUAUGUCGGGAAGGCCUCCGUUGAUUGUGUACGAACAAAAUACGAAUCCAAAGGCAGGGUAAGAAAGGGUUUAGCUAAUGGAAAUAUUAACUCUUCCGGGAACCAGUAACGCGUAAACCAUGUCAAACCAAGACCAAUCAAUAUCCGAACGGAACGGAUUCGAACUUCUCCUAGAAUAGUUUCCGGUGCGAAAUGAAAUUCAUAGGAUAUAUAUGAGUAAUUCAAAGGAAAAAUCGAAAUAUUUGAUAGGAUUGAUUAUGUAUCAGAACUAAAUCACUACGAAUCAGAACUAAAUCACUACGAAUCAGAACUAAAUCACUACGAAUCAGAACUUGAAAGAAUGCAUAAAUAAUGUUAUGGGGCUUCCCCGUCGAGAAUAAAAAGUCUUUCUCUUAGAGAGGCGUUUUCUUCGCUUAGAAAAGCGUUCCUUCUCGACAGGGAUUCCCAUAACUCUUUUAAUUCUCGGCGAUGUUGCAUUUCCAAUUGGGCUUGGUGCUUUUGUUUUAAAAAGCCCUGGAAAUGCUCUGCCUGGGUCCUUUUUACCUCAAAAUAGAAUGGGGAUGUCUCUCUUUCAAAAGACAAACUUUCCAUGACCUGGCAUAGAGCAGGGUGAUUGAAUUCGAGGGGUUCAAGGUGAAAUUUGAGUAUGGAAUCUAGGUCUUGUGGAUCAAUGAAUAAUUGGGGAUCCUCUCAACCAUAAAAAAUGAGUUGAUAGAGAGAGGAAAUCUGGUCGCGAGUUACAAAACACAUCUCCGUGUUUAGGAAGUCUCGGACCAUUACUUCAUAUGUGGCUGAAUGUAUCGGGGUCGUUUUUAGCACUUGAUGUACAUAUUCCACCCAUUCUGUGUCCGACUGUUUCAGAUAGAACUCUAGAAGGUUUAGUUCCGAGGGAAGAAUCCCACAAGGAGAAAGAAGGAUAUGAUUGUUGUUGUGCCAAAGAAGAAAACCCGCGCGCAUUAUUAUAAAGAAAAUCACAAACAAUUUCAAGUAUAAAACGACCCGUUGAAAGGCCGAAUUCUUUACAUAAAGAAAGUUAAGUCGUUCAUCUAUAUUAAAAAACCUAAGAAGAACAAUAAUAACAUUGAAAAGGCAUGACCAGAAGAAUUGUGUGAAAGAAGUGAAUUUAUCUAGUUGAGGCAUGAUUCAUUGAGACAAUCAAAUUCCCUCCAGAAAGCUGAACUCCGUCAAGCCUGUAGGAGUAGUGAAGAAUGUGAGUGAGUUGUGUGGUUUUUUGUUGACCAAGAAAGAAAUGGGAGUGUUUGGGCGUACAUUGCAGAUCCACCGGUGGAGGUCCCGUACUAGAUUGACUUUCUUCUCUGACACUCUGGGGAUCAUCUUAAAGCGUCUUCUUCUUUGGCUAUGUGUUCCUGUAUAAGGGAGGCAUUUUGAUGACGUCAGUGAUCUUUCAGGCACUCCACCUCGACCAACUCAUUUCUUGGUUGAUCGACUGGCAAACGCCCGAGGCACAAAAGAUCAUUGAAAGGUCGAUGAUGUUUAUAGCCAUUCUUUCUUUGCUUUUUCACAACUUGUAAAGGUAGCCAUAGGGGAACCUGUGGCUGGAUUGAAUCCUUAUUUUAUUUCGGCAUCCCCCUCCUUGCGGUUAAGGUAAGGACUUCGGGCAUGGCCAGCUAAGGCUAAAGUUCCAUUAAAGAGCGUUUCCACGUGCGUCACCCAUCUUAUCUAUCUGAUGUCUACUCUAACCUUUUAGAGUGUGGAUUUCAUAGUUUCUAUUGGGAGCAGGCUUUCGAAUAUAUAAAACUCAUUUAUGGUUUUCAAUAAUUAGUUCCAAGUCAGCCAUGUACUACUAUCGGUCAUACAAUUGUUUUUUAAUUGUCUUUCUUUUUUUCAAUGCCCGCGGGCCACCUAAUAUUUUGGAUCGUCCUGCUGAUCCGGCUCCGCAGAUGUAGGUGGGAUUUGCCGAACUACAUCACCAAAGCGACUCCUCAUGAUAGGAGAGAAAGAAAUUAGGGGAAUUUAGAACGGAUUCCACUUUUCUAUAUGCUAAUUCGAAUCUGGCGGGUCGCUCCUUUCUUCGUUUGGGGUGUCUCGUGAGCUCUUUAUGGAAAACUUAUUCAUAUUAUUCUCCUCCCUUUUUUCCUAUCCUAUGGAUCAAAAGCUAUGAUUAACUCAGCUCUGACCUAGACUACAGUGCCCCUAGGGAAUGCACAUUCUCUAUCCUAUCCAAAAAAUAGGGACGCUUAUUAAUAGAAAAUUCAACAACGAAAUCUCAAACUUUUUUACCGCGCACCAAUGUCCGCCUUCUUGUACUGAUGUGGCAAAGUGAAAGUGUAAUUAAGCAAGAUUGACCGCCCUUUCAGUAGUAGUAGUGUCUACUGCCUUUCAGAAUGGCUACUAACAUAUUGCACGAGGUGGCUAACUCGCGGAAUAGCUUUUGGGUUGGCAGAAUCUAAAUAACCCCAAUGGUGAUUCCGAGACUUAUCCUACCUACUCAAGCGGCAAUCAAUACACAUUCAGUGAUUUCGAAUAUCACUUACGACAUUUCGAAAUCAGGGUUUGGGGGUUCAAGCUAUAUAUUCAUUGAUAUUGAGGAAGUAGAGGCAGAUUAAAUCUGUGCCAUCAACUUGACUACAUGGAACUAUCAAUGACGCGUUCAAAGGAAUCCUUUCUAUCCUGUGAGCUCGAACCGGAAGUUCAAGCCCUGCUCUUUCCCAGUCUCCCUUUAUACACUGCCUGCUUUCUUCUCCUGAUCCUCCUUCCGAUGCGGAUCCAACUCUCUGUUUUUAUGAACCAGUUAAACUCUCCAUCUAUGUCUGCAUCCGAGCGAGAAGAGAAGUCGAGUCCAUCUUUGUCUCCACUCAACCCUAGCUCGCUAAGCUGUUGAUUUCCAUGGAUCCUUAGAAACUUUGAGUCAUGAUGGAAAACGUACCCUCGCGAGAGAUUGAGAUAAAAAAAAGGAUGGUUUAGAUGCGGGGAAGAGGGGAACGAGAUGGCUGGCUAAGCUGCUCCACCAGGUCUCAUUUCUGGCCGGGAGAUGGUUUGUAUGGAUGGUUCGGUCAGCUGGUUUCGGAACCACGAGCUUCCUGAGAGAGUUUGAAUUAGAUUCAUUGUUUGAAAACACGGAUUUGGUUCACUGUCGGUCGAUUGACUGGUGGUUUGGUUGUUCUUAAGGCUAAGGGAUGGGGGAUGGGGGCAAAGAGAAGAAGGGCUAAGGCCUAAAAAUUUCACUGAUUGAUUCUUUGAUCCCGUCCACAGGUUCAGUGGUAGGUGGUUCCCCUUGACCUAGCUUUUUCUCUGCAGAGAAAGAAAGGGAUCAAAGGCAAUAAAACCUACGAUGUAUCCUCAAUCUUCCGAGGGGUACGGAGCGGCAUCGGAGUAGCCAAUAAGCUAAUCCUUUCCCAGUGACCCAUCUAAUUGAUUUGAUCCAGUGCAGAAAGAAGCGAGUGAGCGGCAAAUGAUCAAAUAUCGGACCUGGUGAAUAUCUGUCUCUCAAUCCCGGGAUUCCAAUCCAAAUUAUGCAUUGCCCGACCGCACUAGAUUCUUGAUUCGCUGGGAGAGAGUAGAGAGUCAAGGUUCGUUGGAAGUACUUCCUUUCUAUUAGUGUCACCGAAAAGGAUGAAAAGAGAUAAGAUGCUGGUGGUUAGCCUGCCCCGGACUCGUAAUUGAUAGUUUCUGAUGAAUGGAGAUAGCCUUCACUGAACGAUGGGAAUACCAAUUGAGACUAGGAGAGGUGGCCUCAUAUCCCGUCCCUGGUUCCGGCUCUCCGAAAGCAGAGUAUACGGGGGCGGCAGAUGGAUUUGAAGUUGAGGGAAACCUAAAGGACAAAAGAAAGAGAUUUAUUUUUAGAUGCGGAUUACCGCUUCUGAGCUUCGAUGAUCGGGAGGGCUUGAUAGCUUCUAUCCAGUGAAGGGCAUGAGAGGAAGAAAUAAAUGGAGAACUUGGGCCUCUUCGGAUGGGAGUUGAUGGCGGCCUUCAAUGGUUCCCAAAAUGGGCAGUUCCCUUCUCUUGGCAGCCGCAGAUGGGCUUUCACACUCCUUCUCUAUAUAAGAUCCAUAGCUUGAACAAGACAGCUGCACUGGGAUACUCAGAAAGAAGUAAAGCGCAUCCACAACUGCCGAAGAAAGAACAGGAGAAUCUAUACUAUCUUCCGCAACUUCCGAAAGAGCCACAUCAAGAACAAGAGCUGGUACCGCAUGUGCCGCAGGACAGGCAGGAAUGGGAUAUAUAUUUGAAACAACAAUAGCAAGGAGAUUCGCCAACAGGAGAGGGCGGGCCCCCCGCGCUAUUAGUGUCUUCUAUAUAAGAAGAGAGUCGAGUUUGAUGAGUGUCGACUGAGGUUGCGCAGAGCAAGCAAGGCGAGUUGCUUGCAAUGGUUGCUUGCGUGCGAGGCAAGGUAGCGCAAGCAAGGCAACGGUAUAAGCAAGGUAGCUUGCAAGUCCCACCUCGAGCAACAGGUUACCUAAAAACAAAUCAAAUCAGAGUCCUUGGUUCAUUGUUCAAUUGUUGAGAUCGAAUCUGACGGUAGCCGAAGGCUACUACAAUGUUUUGUAAGCUCAGGUUAUCGGCAGAAAAUGUAGUGCAAGCGAAAUUCUCGCCAGACGAUGUCAUGCAGCCCAGAUGAGUAGAGACAAACGUCUAGCAAAUCCGAGUAAGCGACAGGCGAGCAAGCGCAAGGCCAACCGAAGGAAGAAGACCAGUUGAAUGCAAGUUCAAUCACGAGGAGAUGGGCAAGUCAAGCCUGCUGGUAGACAGUAUUCAAACUAGGGGCAGAAGUCAUCAAGUUGCUUUCAGUCGUCCUUCUCCUUAUGUACAAGGCACUAAACUAGUGAUGUUAAGCAUUUGCCCUCGAGUGAAGUUCAACUCAGUUGAUUCUCAGAUAAAUCCCACAUGAAGCGAAAGUCUACGCACCACUACAUGAAAGAUCUGACUGUCUAGUCAGAAAGAGUCUUUCUAGAAGCUUUAAUUUAGGAGCGUUUCAUCAAACUAGAAAGAUAUGAAUCUCAGACAGAUGGUCACGUAAGUAGUGGAUCUCACGUCCUAUCCUCAAGUCUUCUUAGUGAUCGUCUGCUCUCAAUGAAUCAAUGCCCGGUGGCUCUGAAUUCAAUAGAAAUCCCGUGAGUGAAACUCUGAGUUGAAAACGACUAAGCUUAUAUGAAUCUCAGACAGAUGGUUGCGUAAGUAGUGGAUCUCACGUCCUAUCUUCAAGUCUACUUAGUGAUCGUCUGCUCUCAAUGAAUCAAUGCCCGGUGGCUCUGAAUUCAAUAGAAAUCCCGUGAGUGAAACUCUGAGUUGAAAACGACUAAGCUUUUUGCCUUGACCUUGACACUAGUCUGAGCCUUUCCCAGGGCACCUUGCCUUCUUUCCUUGGCUUGGCGGGACACAGAAAUGAUUCUUUGCUAUCUAAAGGGAGUUUCGAUUCCGCAGAACCUAUAGGAGCAAUAGACGGAGUGGAGUAUGGCUGUGAGUCAGGCGCAGUAUCCUCACUGUUCUUGUUACAGAAUCAACUCUGAACGCUGUACAUGGUUAGCUGUAAGAAAGAAUAGCGAUUGUUGAAGAAGUUUGCUCUUUCGACGACUCUUAUUGCUCUAAAUAAGCUCUCAUCCUUUAGGAGUGCAGGCACGACUAGCUUUCUCCAACCUUCUUGUGUGACCGCAUGUUGGAGAAAAGAGAUCCACAUCUUACUCUAACGGCAAUGUCAGGAUCUCAGUCUAUCUCUUUCUCACAUUUGACACUCUCUUCUAUAUACCGCUAAGUCGCAUCCAACUACCUGUACUCUAAGAAUGAAGGUUGUAAACAACCUUAACAAGCGACCACUGGACUUGUGAAAGAGAGCUGUUCUUCGCAUCGAGAAUCGACUGUUUACCCUCUCUUCUUGCAUCUGUGCAUUUCGAGCCUUGGGCAAGCUCCCGACAUGUCUACUUCAUCAAAUUCCCUGUCUACCGAAAAUGGAUGAACCUAUCCACAGGGAUUUUGAGCAUCACUUCUUUUUUUUCCCCAACGACAAAGGAACUUACGGGCGGGGCAUUUUUAGGGACUAGCCCGCUUCCCAUUACUAAAUAGGGAAAUUCCUCACACAUAAUUAAGGGAGCCAUUGAAAGGUGACUAAAACACCAGAAACGGGGACUACCCGUGCUAAUGAUAGAGGCAAGAACACUUUCCGGCCAAGUCCCAUUUAUUGAUCAUAACGAUAUCGUGGAAAUGCUACACGGACCCAUAUAUAUAGGAACAGAAAAAGAAUUACCUUGAUACUAAACCAGAUCGAGCCCGGGAUCUUCUUGGAAAUGGGAAGAUCUAGGAUAGGCGGCCAACCUCCUGGAGAGAGCGAUGUGCAUAGACCAGGUGAGUAGGGAUGCAGCUCCGUGGACCGCUCGUCGGGCCUGAUAGGUGGUGGUAUCACACCCUUCUCAAAGGAACCGUACGUGACACUCUCGCGUCAUACGGCUCCGUCCCGGAAGCAGGACCUUCCCUUUCCUUUGACCAACGGGCCCUCAAACCUUUAUGAUUUCGUGCUAAACCUGGUCUCCAUCUUUGAACUUCUCGUUCGAUGAGACCCCAGGUCUCACUGUUUCCGUUUUCUAGGUCACACCUUAACAUCGUUAGAAAGCAGAGUUGGCUAGCUGCCGGCAUAUCUUUUACGUCACCAGCCACAUAGUCCGCAGCGUCUUUCACUGCAUCGUAUUUGUCGGGGCUGAAUCCCCUUUCUUUAGCGAUCGCCUUCGCUUGUUGGCAGAACGCCUUGAUGCAUGCGUCUAGUUUGUUGGGGUGACACUCCGCUUCUUUAUACUCUUAGGAGGCGAGAAACUCCUGUUCCCUUCUUCUUCCUUACUCUUCCAAGGAUGGUUCAGGGGGAGCCGGUUCCGCCUCCGGCUGAGGAGGAAAAUUUCCAUCGAUAGGCGGUAGCUUCGACGAGCUGGGACGUGGAAGUGAUUGAAACCCUACCCUUCUUUGCUACUCAGUAUCUAAGGAGCAAAUCCAAAGUCGGUUCUCAAGGCCCAGAAGCUCGGGGAUUGAAUACCCCUAUGUUCCAAGUGACUAGCUUGGCUGGUGAUGCGUUCACCCACUUGCAUGCUUCCUUGCAAGCACGAAAUCCUUAGUUCGCCCGCUACCACACGGGCCGGUGUACUCUUAUCACUAACCCCGAGAGAGGCUAUACUCUAAGAGCCAACCGACUCAUUAUCCCUGGACGCAAGGAUUAAGAAAUAGGAAUGUAUCAGGGGCUGAGCGUACCUUCCGCUCAGGUACAAAAAAUGGAGCUAUUAAGUGUUGGUGCCGCUUUCCUUUUUCUAGCUCUUCUUUGGGUUCCCUAUCGAUGCGUGUAUGCCUUCGUCGAAGAAAGAAGGGGAAUCAUAAGAAAUUUUCAUACACCUAGGCCUAAUUCCAUCGAUGAAUCAUUCAAGAACGAAUUUAGCGAGACUAAUCUAAUCUUAUUCAACCUUAGAUAGGAAUUAGGGCAAAGCCUGGGGCGGUCUCUGCCUUCUUAACACGCGGCACACCAACUUGAAGUCUGAUUUGAUAAUCUCUCUCUACCUUCACUUCUCGCGCCCUUCUCGUAGUUUUGACUUGCUCUUAGGCUACCGUAUCCAUAUCAAGGUGACAGUAUUCAAACCUAUGGCCCUCUGUACCCAAAACAGAUGCGCUGACCAGACUGCGCUACACCUCGUCUCACCACCCCGAAGCAUAUAGAUCCACCCGAUCGAUGAACACUAAAACCGAACUAGCCCAUCCUUUUGGGCAUAGGGAUGCGAGAACCAAUUCGAGUAAUCAACCGUUUUUUUUUGAAUCUGCCUCAAACCCCAACCCUACCGCCAAAAAGUCGUCCGUAUAGUGCAGGAGCGCUCACAUUUUUUUGCUUACUUGUUCACUUUCAUUUCGAAAUCCAGCUCGCUCCCAGCUACGGUUUGGACCUUUCGCCUGCUUAGAAGUGGAUUCGAACCACAGACACAAGGAUUUUCAGUCCUUUGCUCUAACCAGCUGAGCUACUUGAACCACUUUCCUAAAGUUUAUUUUCUUCAUCGAAUAGCGCCCUACCUUACCACUUGACUAGUAAGGGAAAAGCCGUUUACUAAACAAAAUAGAAUAGAUAGGCUUUUUUCACUUCUUCGUCAAGCUUUCGAGCAGCUCUUUCAACUGCCGCCUAAUCCCCCAACAUGCUCGACGAACCGAGAGCCGUCCAGGGACUGCCGGAGGGAGCUUGCUUAUAGAAAGAAGAUAGGCCAGAAAAACAAGGUGCAACGGGCUCUCCGCUCCGUCUCACUAAGAAGUGCUAUUCUGUCCUCCGGGGGACUGGACUCCACCAAGAGGUUCUUUCUCUCACGUAAUUUCGCCCGCCCCUUUAAUUUCCGUACCGGAGGAAAUGGGAUUCGAACUCAUGAUACAAUCUUCUUGUAUGUCGAUUUCGCAAACCAAUGCCUUAAGCCACUCAGCCAUACCUCCAAGUUGUUGAUCGGAAUGGAAUUGGAUGUGCCGGGUUUGGUUGCUUGCCCGAAGGAAGGGCUAUCUGAUCCGAUCAACUACGUAAGCCGUAGCGCGCUAGCGCGCGUACUCUUCCUCUAUGAGCGAGACUCCAUCCAAAUCUGCCACUCCUUGGGCGAGGCCUUCUGUUCUAUGAACACCCCACCACUGAAUGAUUCACUUUCAAGUUCUCGCCUCCGACCCGGGAGAACACAGGGUCAAGCCAAGCCCUGACCCGCCUAAAUGGAAUUCAUAUCUCCUUCGUCUGGUCGAGAAGGGAGGGGAACUGGACUCUGCCUCUUCUAUUACAUUUACAUUACAUUACGGAGAAGUCCAUUCUCGUCAUGAUCGAUCCACGUCCUAGCGUAGUGCCCGACUUGCUUAGCAACCAAAGCUAGCUUACUAAGGUAGUUUACUUUUUCAUUUUGAAAAAAGAAGGCGAAGGCAUUUUUUCUUGAUUGCACGAGCCAGCCAGCAAGCCAGCAAACCCCCCUUACUCAUCUCAACAUCUAUAAAAAAGCUCUUUCUCCUUUUCAUUUCAUAAUAAUAAGGUAAGCAUCCAGCUCUCGAUCCAGAGCUACUGCUUCAAGAAUCAACUGAGCUCAAAAAGUCAGGUUAAGACGUCGACUUUGAUAGGGGAGAUGAAAAAUAAUUCCUGUCUUUAGAAGUAAAUCCCACUAAACGUCACUUGUACGCUUGACAUGAAAAGUAGAGGCAAGCGGAGUCAAAGGCCGAGCCUCAACCAGCAAAGGGGGACAGCCAUGCCAAUCUAAGCACAAUCAAAGCGUGCCCACUCUACCUUUCUUUCUUUACCCUAGACUCCGUUCUUCAAGGAGACCCAUGUGCAUUUCCUCUGUUCUGUGCUCGCUACGCCCUUGUGCCUUUAGUUGAAGUAUAGGUCGUCGAUUCAAUCUAUCUUGAUGGGAUUUUUCUAGUAGGUAGCGAGAAGACUAGUAGUAUCGACAAGAGGCUACAUCAAUAGCUGUAAAUUUCGGGUAGGGUAGGCUUGGAGUCAGAAGUCCUAUUCUUCCAAACCAUAUAAGCACUUUUGCAAAGUUCACCUUCCCGCGGUCAAAACAACACUUACGGAUAAUAAUCAGACCUUACCAGGGACAGGGACCAGACUAUAGAGCCUAAUUAAAAAGAAUUCGAGCUUGCUUUUUCAAUUCAUAUCCAUGAGCGAGGAUUCCUCUAUCUCUUGCUCGCUUCGAUCGGACUCUGACAGCUUAGGGAAGAAUGAUGGAUCGCUAACAAGGCCCCUAAAUGACGGCUCAGAAGGCCUACCUAUUUUUUUUCCCAAUCUGUCACUUGCUCGUCCCUCUCUCAUGAAAAUGGUCUCUCCUCUCUAACCAGUCAAGUGGCCCUUGGACCACCUUUCUUUCUACUAGUUCUUACAUAAGCAAUUUUCAGGAAGUAAACGAAGUCUUUCCUUCCGAAAUCCACUCCUGAAGUCACAUCUUUCAGUAAUAGGAUUGAAGUAAAGUACUUUCGAGUUGCUCUUUGCCCAAAGCCCUCCUUCCGACUUAGUUAGAAAGACCAACUCUAAAUAGCUUUAGCAUUUCUUGAGUUGAAAAUGUAUUUAUAGAUUCUAGAACUCAGGGGAAGGUUUGGAACCCUAGUAGCAGAAUGGAAUUAGUUUACCGGGCUGACUUCUAUGCCAACACGAGUAGUUUAACUCAUCACUACCUCGUAAGGGCGUUGAAAAUAGUUUUUGCUUUUUUUGCUAAAAACUUUGGAAAAAGUAUUCAAAGAGCCUUUGCAUAGUUUACGAAUUCUGCUUAGCUUAGUAGGGACCUAAACACAGGAAUUUCUUUUCUCAGAGUCAGACCACGCCUUAUGACGAAAGGGGGAGAAAGGACGGAUCACCUGUCGAUCUGUGAUCAAAGAAAACUAUACCUGAAGAAUGGGAUACAGAUUGACAAGCACAAAAGGGUAGGCUUGGCUAUUAAUCUACGCUCCUUGAUGAGACGGCGACAUACAGAAGAAAGUAUACCCUUUGUCACCCCCCUUGUCAAAACAAAGUAAAGAAGAGAUACACACUUUGGAAUUGGUGGGAUUUAGGAUGGAAUCGAAUAGUGAAUGCACUUGCGGUUAAGACAGAUCCUGCAUCUCCUACCUAAUGCAAUUGAUCGACCCGCCAUUUCUUUCCUUCAAUAAUGCCUUUGCUUCAUUUCGACGACGCUAUUUACCAAGGAAAGAAUACCUUUUUUUGAAUGGAAGAAGCCGAAGGGGUGAACGAGCACUGCGGUAAUGAGCCGUAAGAAAGAUGAGCAGAGCAUUCCUUCCGCCAACCUUUAUAGGAGUAGGGAGUGUGGUGACAUAGAUAGACAUCCAAUCCUACAGCAGCUAGUUGCUCGGCCUUAGUCUUGGGCUGAUCUCAAACUUCAAUCAACCCCUUCGUACUUCGAUCCAAUCAAUUGAUCGAUCAAGAGGCUAAUCUCUUUUGUUUGGGCAGGUAGCUAAAAGAAAGUCCUCGCUUUCUCUUGAACAAGGGAAGGGCGUAGCGUUAAAUCUGCCUCGCCUUUCAGAGGUUUGGAACCCUUCUAUUGAGUACCAAUUGGGAAUCUAAUCUGACUUCUAAAACGGAAGUGAGCACAGGUGAGAGGACCCCACUUUCCUGCAUCCCUCUCCCCACGAGCAGAACACUAGAGAUGCACAGCACGUGGGCCUUAUCUAACGAACGACGACUUUUGAUUCUUCACUUCAAGGAGUAGAGUCGCUGCCCAACCAUACCUAUAUAGAAGAAAAAGAAUCGAUCACUAGGUCCCGAGCAAUUCUACCUUCUUUCCAUUAUCCAACGCUCAUGCGUCCCCUUUCUCCCACUCUUUUAAAGCUUUCAAUAAAGCCUUCAACGCUGUGGAAGUAGCAACCGGUCUGUUGGAAUGUUCCUGCAUAAGUUGUCUGAUCCAUAAAAAAAAGCUUUUCUGGGGACGCGCUGUUCAAGUCGAGUUCCUUAUUGUCCCUUCCAAGACAUCCCUUCUAACUUCCCUAUUUCCAAAGGAAGAAAGAAAGGUCGAAAGCUCUCUUUUGAGAGCCUCUUUUGUUGGGCUCGGCGGCCCCAAUCGCAAGGCUAAAUUGAUAUCCCCCAUAGCCUGUUCAGCAUGAGGAAUGGCUGGCGGAGCAUCAGGAUUUCCUUGAUCCAUUCUCAAGAUCUUAGCCCCCCUACCAACUCGCUCACGGUGACAUUAGGCACUACCUCAUUUGGGCUAGAAAUAAUAUAACUGUCCAUAAAACAAAUCAUUGUUGUGUUUUCGGUCUCGUUGAAUAAAAUGCAAACGAAAUGACUUACUAGCCACAGUAUAUCCCCGACACAACCUACAUUCACAAACGAUAGUUGUUUAGAAAUUUCUCCAAAAUUGAGACUAUCAUUACAUGAUACGUAUUAUGUGAGGUUUUGGGAUUCUUAUAGUUUCUAUUAUAUAAUAAUUGGAAUCAUAGAGAAAAGAAAAUGAUAAAACAAAAAGGACAAAGGAAAAAGAAUCGAAUCUCACUCAUUUUCAGGUAAGAUUUACUUAGCUCGCUCCUUGCUCGCGGAGCGGCAUACCAAUAAAAAGAAAAGCCUUAUCGGAUUGGAAUCGAUGACUUAAGCCUCUUUCUUAAGGGCCUUUAAAGACCGGCCAUUAUUGGACUCUUCUUAUUUAUGCUUUUUUUUUCACAGGGCUUGGAUCGAGGAAAGCAGGCUUGACAGGCCCGAGUCUUCAUUUGUAGGACUUUGUGGGAUGGGCCCGUGCAUGUAGGCUUGGGUCUUCUUAACGUGCGUCAUUUGACGACUCAGUGCAUGGAUGUCACGAGUCCAUUGGCAUAGGCUUAGGCCUAUUUUGUAAGUGGGCAGUCUUUGGCAGGCCUGGAGAUUCAAUUAAGGGGAGCAGUCUAAUAAAUCGACUGUUGGUGGCAUCACGCUAUCUUAGAUUAGGGAUGAUAAUUCAAUAUAUCGGAAAGACGCUAGGCAAAAAGGUUAGUAAGAAUAAGAAUUAUUAGAUUUCCUGUAUCGGAGAGAGAAGCUGAGUCGGGAUGAGGGAAUUGUUUCUAUGCUUUUCUCAGAUAAUGCGGGUGCAAGAGUGAAGCUAUCGCCUGGUUCAACCAACCGUCAGUCCUGGUGCCUUUCUACUGAUUUGACCGCUUUUUAUUGUUAAUCCGGGUUCACCUUGGCCCUCGCCCCAGAGUUCUUAAGAAGACUCUGGUGGUGCAUGUGUAUGAUAGGGCCCCCCAUAAGCGCCAAAGAUCGGUGAUGUUGUCAUGAUAAGUGUGGGAAGUCGAUAGUGUACUCGAUGAUUGAAGGACCUAUCGACUUGCAUUAACUUCCCGUGGCUAGUAGGGGGAACUUUAAUGUAAUUGCGGAUCCAUUACAAAAAACUUGAGGGUGGGCCUCCCGACUUCAAUGCCUUUAUUGAAGUGAUGAGCUUUGAAGAUAUGAUUUUCUCGUUUGGAUUAUUUGAUUGGGCUUUCAAUGACAGCAAAUUGACUUGGAGCAAUAAUCAAACCGGUCAACAUUGUAUCUGGGCCAGACUAGAUAGAAUCCUUUUGAAUGGGGACUGCCCGCUUCUAUAUAAAAGCUAUUUUGCUUCCACCAGAGUCGACCAUUUGCCGUCAGUAUCCUCUGAUCACUCUCCUCUAGUAAUCUCCUUAUAAGAUUAUAAUACUCGCAGGCCUGGGGUCUUUCGUUUCCAAAGAAUGUGGAUUCGGCAUUCUUAUUUUCACAUUGAUCUCAACCAUGCUCGGUAAAUCCUUUUCAAGUCUUCUCCAGGAGGAUUGACUCAACAAAUAAACCACUGAAUUGGCGAACUAUUUCAAAAUAUAGAAAUGCCAAAAAUGAAGAAGGAAAAUUUGCUCUUGAACAGAGUUGGUCUGCUGAUAAGAAAAUGGAGUUAGAUUCGGCCAAGAGUAACCUUGAAAAACUUCUGCUUUAUGAAGAAAGAUAAAGAAUAAGCACCUUGAACCAAAUUCAGAACUUGUCUUUAUAUGGCAGGAAGCUCUAAAUUUAUUUCAUACAUUACUUUCUUCUCAAGGUUCGGUGCUUGAAGAUAAGAUCCUUGAGACCAUCCCCUCUCUAGUCACAGAGGAAGAUAAUAAGAUGCUUACGAGCCCUCCUAAUAUGGAAGAAGUUCAAAAGGCAAUUUUUAGCAUGUCGGCGUGCACUAACCCAAAAAAAGGUCUCCCCUAUCCUUUAAAGCCAUCAGGCUUUCCGGAUUCUUUUUAUAUAGAAAAUAUCGUUGGGAUUUCAAAAGGCAUCAUUUGGAGUUGCAAAACACCGAAGGGAUAGAUGUUUUCCCCUCUCUCCCAUAGGAUAUUCUAAGCACAAAAUAAUGUUAAAACGACAAUCGUUAUUGAGUGGUUAAAGUAUUCUCUUGGUGUCAAAUAGAGCAUUAAUGGGGCUGAAAAGGGUAAAACCUUUAAUAUCCCAUUACUAUCUUUGAUUGAGCUGUGGCAGCCCCUGAUGGGGUCAUAAGUCACGUCUCAAUUCCUGGUUGGAACCCAGGCGCCCCCCUCCGGACUGACUCAUGAUGUCCGAUAAGGUGAGUGGAAUGAGCCUCGGAGGUUCAGUCUGAUUGUUAAAUCAGUCAGAUAUCCAUCCGGUGCCAUUCCUGGCGGGAUCUGUUAGAACAGAUCAACGACAAGUCCGUUAACCAUAUUUCCUUUUGAUGGUCUGGACUGUCCUUUGUUCCAACCAUGAGAUCCUCUUAAAGGAUUCUACUGUGUGAAUUCUUCCUAAUUAUUCAGACGGUACCAGUUUCGUGUAGUAUAAAAUGGAAUAUGGUGCUUUGAUAAUGAAAUGUUAUCAAGGGGACGUCUCGUGGAGAGCCCCGACUGAAUGUUAACAAGAAUGAGUGUUGCUAUGAUACAGUUAGAAUAAUGUAUUCUCCUAAUAAUUCAAACGGUACCAGUUUCGUUUAGUAUAACACGGAAUAUGGUGCUCUGAUAGUAAGUGAUCAGGAGGGUAUUUCGAAAGAAAGCCUCGAUUGAAUGUUAACAGAUAUGUUGUUCUCUCAGUUCUAUGCGACAGCGCAAUUAGAGUCUAAGUUGAAACUUCGAUUUUAAUCUACGCAUCAUAAGGGUAACCUUGUGUGAGGGCAUAAUGGAAAAGGAAACUUUCUUUGUGUCCAAUGGCUGGAGGGUCUAUCUUUGUCAUAAUAAAAGUCAAUUUUCGGACAAAAGGAUAGAUGGAUCCUUGAAGAAAGACUAGAGAAAUCUGUUGAGUAUUACAGUUGUGCGGUAUCUAUGUUUCGCGGAGGCCUAUCAGGGAAAAUUUAGGGGAAAUAACCUUCUUCUAAAUAUGGAAUAAAGAAAUAAGAAUAUUGUUGGGAUUUCAAAAACUUCCAGCUGGUCACCUUAUUUCUUCGCUGAAGGUGCGAUCCCCCGUUCCAUCAAUGCUACUUUCCUUGCUUUGAUUCCUAAUAUUUUGAUCUAGGACUACCUCUAUUUAAAUCUGAAAAAGCAAAUUUCUCAUCUUCUGGAUAGAGUAUAAAAUAAAGUGGUAGGAGAUGAAAGCAUUGUUAUCCAGUGGAUUUUGCAAACAUGUUCUUUUCUCGAUGCCUAUACACCUUCUUGCAGGGAUUCCAGUUUCAAAGGGAGUUCUUGACCAGUUGGAAAAAAUGUUAGCUAACUUUUGGUGAGGCGGUGAUGAAGACAAAAGAAAGCUUCACUGGAUAUUUUUUGAUACUAUGUGCCUACCUAUUCAGGAAGGGGCUUUGGGUCCUCCUACUACAAGACAUUUUCAAGAGCUUUCAAAAGCUUUUCGUAUGAAGUUUACCUGGUCAAUAAGAGGGGGGUAGAAUAUCAGAGAGCCAGGGGUGGAACCAGAAAUCAGUGCUAGCUCCAUUUCCAAUCCACCAUUUUGAGCCCUUAAGUAUUGGUGGGGUUGCCUGAAAAUAGAACUGAUUUCACUCCAAGUCCUGACAACCAGGUUUGGAAGCAGCAAACCAUAGGGGCUUUCAGAUAGUUUCUUUUGAAAAAAGCAGUCCAAAGUAUGACUCCCUCUUAUUGACCAGGCCAACUCCUUUACUAGUUAUUUCUUCAAAAUCAUAGAUGUGCUUGACGCACAUGGAAACUGCUUUUUCAAUGAUAUCGAAGCAUUUUUGCCUCACAGAGUGGUUUAUGAUAUCAGGAAUAGUGGUAUAUUCACAUCUCAUCAGGAGGACAGGGGGAUAUGGAAAAAGAAUCGUAGCGAGUCAUUUUUUCUCAAAGCUGGUUUGGAAUCGAUAAGAAAUCGAACGGGCAUUCAAGCUUGGACUCAAUUUGUCUGGGAUAAAGCCAUUCCUACAAUAAUUAGCAUUUUUGCGUGGAAGCUCUUAUUUUACUUUGUAUGCGGGGAUUUCAGAAUCAGUUAAGGGAAUAAAUUCAAACGAAAGGUAUAAGAUUAGCAAGCAAAUACUUGUGCUAUUCGGAGCAUGAUAAAUAAAGUAUUGAUCGCCUCUUCAUCAAGAGUGAGCUUGCUAUGGAGGUUUGGAACCAUUUUGAUCGCCUUUACAAUAUAAGAUCCUUCCAAACGGAUUCCAUUCAGUCCCGGUGGUUUAACGGAUCUCAUAGGAAAUCCCAAGUAGGCUACGUCACGUCUAUGCUUACUAUUUUUUCAGUUUGGGAACUCUGGAUGGAAGGCAAGAGAAGGAAGAUAGAUCACCAAGGCUUUUAGCCACAACAACAAGGAAGGGGCAUUUUCGUGGACUGGACGAGAGAGAUAGUCAUUCCGAACUCCUUCUGCCCCUGGGGAAAGAAAGACUUUAUGUGAGACACAUUAAAUUUGAAUCUAAGUCCCCAAAGAAAAUGCAAAUCAAAUAAAGAAAACACAAAAAUUAGAGGGGGGUCAAACUUCUUGAAUAAAAAGAAUACAAUUAAAAAAAUAAUUGGAAUCGUUCCGAAGAGAAUAUGUGUCCCGGCACUGCACAAAUAAGAUCCGGUUAUAUAUCAUAUAUGUGGGUACAUAUUGUGUAUCAAGAACAAAAAAAUGCGGAUAUGGUCGAAUGGUAAAAUUUCUCUUUGCCAAGGAGAAGAUGCGGGUUCGAUUCCCGCUAUCCGCCCAAGAUCCAAGAUAAAGUAAUUUUUUUAAUAUUUAUUAUUUAAUUUCAUAAAUAGCAUUAAAUAUAUCCUUAAAUUAAGGAUUUGGUAUAGUUGGCCGUGAUAGUGUAGUGAUUCUAUCCCUCCCCUACGUUUUCUUUUGCCUUCCACCCCCAAAAAGCGAAAGGCGGGAAUUAAUUACUAGUUACCAGAGUCAACCCUAAAAUAGUUUGGAAAAACAAGAUGUUGCGGAGACAGGAUUUGAACCCGUGACCUCAAGGUUAUGAGCCUUGCGAGCUACCAAACUGCUCUACCCCGCGCCGAAGAUAAGAACUGAAAACUAAUAGAUAAACAAGGAUAAAAUGCGCCCCUCCACCCUAUCUGUACAAAUAGAAUAGCCCAUUUAUACAGAAUGGUAAAGGGGCUUCUAUGAUCAUCGACCAUAGAAAUAGAAAUGAAGCAUUAAUCCUUACCAACUUGAUCUUGUUGCUCCUGGCAACAAACAUGCAUGAACCAUUUCACGAAGUAUGUGUCCAGAUAGUCCAAAAUCUCGAUAGUUAGCUCUCGGCCUUCCGGUCAAAAAACAACGUCGAUGAAGGCGUGUAGGUGCACUAUUCCGUGGUAGGGAUUGUAACUUUCCAUAAAUUUCCCAUUUCUCACUCAACGAACGGAAUAAAUGGAGUGAGAACUAGGCACAGCGCACUCCGGCUCGAGAAAGAACCUCCAAAACAAAGGAUCCUUGCUUCUUUUCAUUUGGCUAAGAAUAAACCAUCACCUAAGCAAGUCAGCUAAUUUUCUCGUAAGAGACUUUAGCCGAGGGAUUUUGAAAUGAAACUAGACCAUGUCUAUGCUAAAAGAUUCCAUGUCCACUAAGUGAGAUGCCCAUAAACAUAUCGAUCAAUUCGGGAAUUGAAUUUGUGUGUCAAGUCAAGUUCUAUUUUCAUGUAACCUAGCCCGAGAAAACAUCGUGGAUAAAGUACGGCUGGGUAGCAGGCACAGCCAAACCAAAGCUUCAUGCCAUUCUUGAAAGGAAGUGGAAUUCCAGAUAAAUUGAUUUUUGACUACCUGGUAGUAAAGCAAGGAAUAUCAUGAAAAAGAAUAGAUGAUUUUUGCCUUUCUCCAGAUAUUUAGUGAACCAAUCCCAACUGGUUCUUGAUAUUCUGGAGGUGUGGCUCACCUAAACGUUAACGUUCAAAAAUGAUAGGAACAUUCUUGAAUCAGAAACUGGAACAAAAGCAAGUCUUCUGUUCCCUGUUUUGACAUAAUCAACUGAUUGAACAGCCCAUCAAGACGCUAAGCUGGCAAAAGAGCUUUGAGACUUCCCGUCCAAGGAUAGAAUAUGAAUCAAUUAUGAAUGUACGUUCCCGGCCUCCUCUCUUUCGUUUGCUUCCGGUUGGGUAAGGCUGGAUUCCAUUCAGGAUUUUAUGAUACUUUCGCGCAAAAACAGAGAUCGAAAACGCUUGAGUCCUGGGUUUUCGUCUUAUUAGCGUCUAGGCCGAAAAACGUGUGGAUAAGGUCCAUGCACACUAGUUCAACUUCAACGCGCUCACGUAAAACAUACGAACUGAACUAGCAAGAUUAGGGUUGACUCAAGGAAGAAGGAGAAGCUUAAGUGCUGGAAAGGCUUAAUAAGCACAUCUACAGUACACUUUCUUUCAACUUUCACAUGCACAUUUUUACGAAAAAGUCUUUAUUAUUUAUAUUCACAAUUCACAUAAGUAGUGAACACUUUAGACUAGGUUUUGGCCCAUACCAUACAUGCAAACACAACAAACCAAACCAAACAAAGACACAACUUUACUUAAAUAAGUGAACAAAAGACAUAGAACUUCAUUCAACAUAACAAAGAAAGCAAUACAUCACACUACUUUGUGUCUAGAGACACUUAUUGAAAUAAAAGUCGAGGGACAUCUUUCCUCUUUCUCAGUUUAAAGAGAGGAGAGGAAAAAGCUCUAUAAGAUAGACGACUUCUUCGUCGAAUUCCUUCAGGAAGGGAGUGAAGAUUCCAAUCCGACCUUGAAAAACAGUAUAAACGAGAGGAGUGAAGUGAGUUUGAAAUCGACUUCUUUAUUCAAAGAAAUAUCCUUCCCUGCGCUCACUCUUCCAAGACUUUUGCUCUUAGGUCAUUCUAUUCGCUAUUUGACUUUUCUUAAUCUUGCAAAUCCUCUCUUUUCCGCUUUCUAAGGAAUGUCAAGCCUGUCUAUUUACGAAUCCUCUGUUCAUGAAUCGGAUGUGCGAUGGGACCCGUUCCUUGAUGAGGAUUGCUAAAAUCUUUCUUUUUUAAUAAAAAAGACUGGGUUUCUAAGCUCGAUGUGGGAAGUGGAGGUUCUGCAAACAAGCUACCUGAGUCAUGUAGCUCGUUUAGAGCAAUAAGGAAUUCAUUCUAACAAAUGACGAUAUAUCGAGUGAGGGAUAUAGAAGCUAAGGCAAGCAAUCAGUACACGAAUCCCUUCCUCUAGAAGGAGUGAACCCGACCACUUCACGCUGAAGUUCAUACUCAUACUGAUCUACGAACCACCCUUCUCUUUGAUUUGUCCUUCCUGACCUCUCUUAAGCCUUUCAACGAUCGUUUAGGUAGCCUCCUUAGGUCUCUCAAAAAAGUAACCUGGCCUGAUACCUAUUCACUCGCCAGGCCUACUCGUAUCCAUCAUAUAUAAUAUGCCCUACUAUCGAGGGAAAUCCACCUCUUAGAUAAAGUCUUCGAUCGCCUGAAGAUGGCACAGAAAGACAAAAAGAGCAAAAUCGAUAUAAGAUAAGACAGGAUAUCAAAUUUCUCCCAAUUUCGCUUUCUACCACUCCAUGGAAGUAAGACUAGCAACUAUUAUAUGGCCCUCCUCCUAUUAGGGCAACUACUAAGACUGGCUCGCCGAGAUCGACAGGAAAGACAACUAAAACUCAAACUGCAGGAAAGAGAGAAAGAGGGGGAACUAGAUGAGCUUACUACUCCAACAGUAACUGGAUCGAAAAGAGAGUGGACUGAGCAUCUUUUUCCAAUUUCAAAGAUCUAUCAAAGUCCAUUUGAAAUGAAGACUCCUGCUCUGCUUUCAAACUUUCCAACUGCAUGUGAGUAAACUCCUACUCGCUUUAGGGCAGUCUAACCUAUAGGCUGCAAGCACCAGCUUGCUGGCAGAACAAAAGACUUGAACCGGAUAGCUGGAAACUGGCAUUUCCACUAGAUAUAUCUCAAUGGCUGCAAGGGCUUACCUUGGCGCUCCUACUGUUAGAACUCCAACUGACAAGGGAACUCAAGUGGAAGACCACUUCCACUGCCCGAAAGCCUUAUCAUUGGAAGGAAACUGCACGAUUAGUAGUGAAUAGGAUCAAUCCUCCAUAUUCUUCUCUUCGGCAUAACUGGUAAGCAGCAUACUACAGCAAUAGACCAGUCCACUAACUGGAAGAUUCAAGGCAAGAUCAUAAGUGGGGCAGGACGGUAGUACACCUCCUAACAUUUCCCAGGUAAUGAAAGUAGAUCCCCUUGUCCAACCGAGUUUUUUAUACCUGCUGCCUUGUUCGGAGUUGACCCUCUUUAUACUUUGAUUCCCAGGAAAGUUCUAUGUGAACCUCCUUCCUAACCGAAAGAAUGGAAUCCGGUAAUCCAACAAUAAGAUAAGGGAAAAUGUCGACAUAACCAUUGCUAUUUCAUCUGCAGCUCUUACCGUUGAAGGAAUCAGUCUUGCUUUGGCUUGAUUGCUUUCACCAGGUCUAGCUAGUCUGGGAGUCGAUUAGCCCGAGUUGUGUUAAGAUAAGUGGCACUUGAAUAGGAAGUAGCCAUCGUUAGAGGAAAGAACUUGUAUUACAAGGAUUCAUAAACUGUAAAUCUGGCAAUUCCUACGAGGGUGGUGGGUCAGAGCAGAUUCCCUUGCUUUAGGGCAGGAAUAGCGGAAUGGUUAGGGGGCUUGUCUCUAAGCAGCUGUCUUCCAUGUAGCUACAGCUACAGAGGAUAGUCUCUAAAAGCUACAACCGUCUCUUCUUAUUAUUCUCCAAAAAUAUACCUAGGUUUUGGUAAUCACUCUACUGACAGAGAACCUAAGAGCUACUAAUAAGCCUUUAGGCAGGCAGCGGAAAUGGUCAAUGUUGUCUUCCUUUACAAUGACUUCUUCUUUUCCUCUUCACCAUACAAAUUUCUAGCUCACCCUCGGAUCAGGGGAUACCUUAAGUCAGCAGCUCCCUUUGAAGAUAGGGCAUUUACAUAAACUCCAAAACCGUACCCAGGGAGCUUACAUCAGGAAACUCCCAAGCUUGCCGAGGAAGGAACAAAACAGAGAAAGACACCGUCCAACCGCUUUUUAUGUGCGCGUACCACUUUUGAGUAUCUUUGCACUGCUAGCUCCCUUAGAUCAUUGGCUACCAGAAAGACUAGAACUCAGGAACAUCAAUAUGGUUAGGGAUCAUUAAGGUACGGCCCUUAGCCUAUUCCUUUCUGCCUUUUGAACGAAUCUAGAACCUCAAUUAGCAGAUUCAUUAGAAACCUUUCUUGGAAGACUCAAUUCAUUAGAUAAGCCUAGUACAUAAUCACUGAUAGGAUCAUUCCUUCAAUUAACAAAUAAUGUUUGGGCACUUUGAAGCAAGUUGAUCUUAGAAGACUAACCUCGUAGCUCACUUAGAUCAAUCAGUUCAAGCAUUGACAAACCAGCCUUCCUUCUGUGAAACUCACUUUGUUGGAUUGUUGGAAGCAGAUGAGCCCGUGCAAGCAUUAGAACAUGCAUUCUCGCGAUCUACAGAGUCCUUAUGGCUUGCUCCUUUAUAGACUACGUCUUUUCACCAGAAGAUGGUAAGUCUACUGAUGCCUCUUGAAUAACCUUCAAAUAUGCAUUAUCAAAGAGGAUGACAGUGAGAGAUUUCCGAGUACCUUGGUGUAAUCGUCAAUCCCACACUGAUUCCACAUUAUAACACGUCUCGAUCAGGCCCGAACUUGAUCAAACCAAGAUCUUUGUUGGACCCUUCAAGUGUGCUAUAUACGGCACAUCCAUCAAAUGAUAAUAGAUACCUUUGAUUGAGCACACAACCGUAUAGUACUAAACAUCAUAUGGAACUACUCACCCAUUACGGGUUACAGUGGGACCAAUGAUGCCCAUCCCUAUUAAACACCAUCUCUACAGAAAGAGAUGUAUCUCCUUGGGUUUUAUCCUUCGGAGAAAUCCACUAUCUUUCCCUUCAAACACAGAUUGAGGUUUUUUUUCCUUCCAAUCAAAUAUAUGAAGGUAGUGGACGUGACCGGUUAAGCUUACUAACAGUCAUCCUCAAUCCUACCAAAUGGUUGGAGAGAAGAUGAGAACAAGACUUUAAUCCUAGCCCUACUAACUCCUAAAUACCUAUUACGAUCAGGUAUUCAUCAGUUAAAGGGCACAGAUUAAAGGCUGUCCUACAGGACAGUAUUAGCCUCAGUGAUAUGAUGGGAUUUUACCCCAACAUCCCUUUGGCAAACCCAGCAUUCUUAUUCUGAUGAGUGACUUUGAAUCAGAAGUCCAAACGCUGAGUCUAUCCAGUAACUUUCCUAUACUGAAAGAGCCACUUGCUUAUUGGUGAUUAGGAUAUCAUCACCAAGCAAGGUGUGAUCAUAAAGGGAAGGUCACUCUGUGGGAUUCAAACUCGCAGUCCAACCACACUAUGUAGUAGUAGGACAACGAAAAGAGUAACCAAGAUCUAUAGUAACCUAAUAGGCUGACCAAAGAAGGAUAUCUCAUACCUCCAACAAAGAAGUAUCAGAACCAAAGAAUUGUCGGACAAUUUGAUACCAUACAAGCUCUUUUAGGCAAAUAUGGGAUCUCCUUAGCCAACAACCGAGCACCGAAUAGAUCAAAGGAAUUUCUUGCUUCUCUCAGAUUGACGAUGGACAUUCUUGGUCAGAAGUUCAAUCAGUCUAAGAUUGAGAGAACCUCAAUAACCCAACUGUGGGCAAGAAACAAGGUUUCCUACUAUUUUCCUCAGUCACAUGGCUCAACCACCCUAUGAUCAAUGAGUUAUUAAUAUAGCUCAUCGACCAAUCGGGAUAUGAUUGGUGGUAAUAACGAAGGACGUCUCCUUCUCCCACUACAUACCCGAGGAAAGAACAACCCCUUUUGGGGAUUGCUAUUUCCAGGGAGGUCCCCACAGAAUUCCCUUGGUUUGGAAUAAUAAAAUGAAAGAUGAACAACCGCGCUGGUCGUACCUAGUUUAAACUAGUUAAAUAAUGGAAAACCUUCUUUGUUAUGCUGGGUCUACUGCUCUGGUUUGUUGUCUUGCCUUAUCCUUAUCCUUUUAUUGUGUUUGCCGUCAGGCAUUGUUCAGGAAACGAGCAAGGUUAGACGGUCCAUCAUGCGAGCCGACUGUAAAACAUCAACAAAUCGAUCCUGCUAAUGAGGUUAUGAGUGAGUCGGGUGCCCCUUCUCCAAGAGCCGCCGAUUGUUGAGAAUGAUCCCCAGCCCUCUUGUGCACAACCCAGAACACCGGACUCUCAGGACUUGUCUGACAUAGUCCAACUGGGCAGCCCGGAUGCCAAAUUUACAAUUAAAUGAAGCAUGUAUGAGUCACUGUGCAAGGAAAUUGAUUGUUCCUACCGACCUCGACCGAUGUCGCAUUAUCUAUGGGAGGUGCAGACGAGGAGUUUUUCCAAUACUAAUAAUCUAGUUAAGCGUAGGAACUCCCUGAUUGCGGUCAGCACUUUAUCCGGAGAGCUUUUACUCUGGCCUAGCCUCGUCGAGGCGAAAGGUUGUGCUCUUAUCGAGAGCCCCCCGGUCACCCAAGGAAUUGUCUAUCCUUUAUAAGCCUUCUGGCGAUGUGAAUUCAUAGAUUGUGAGCUACCAAUUCACACCUGAGCGCGAAUUUCAAUCUAUCUUUACCCUGGCCUAUAAAUCUUCACAGGGGACUCUCUGUCCUUUAUUUCUGAUUGCUCUUGUGGAGUACACCUAACCUAGCCUUAAUCCUUACCCUCUCUUUCAGAGAAGCCCCCGAGGUGACGAACUGUGACCACUCUCUCACUAACAGGAGUGAGAAGUCUCUUUAUUCCGGGCUUUAUCAACGGGUCAGUCUUGAUGCCUCUUUGGAGGUACGUGAUUAGCGUAGGCUAUCUCCCUCGUGAGUGUUGAGCGGCUACUUUUACUUGACCAUCCUCCAGGAGAAGUCACCGAAGGCGAAGACCAUCGGCUAUAGCAAAAGCCUCUCUACCUACCUCGUAGAAGAUAAGAUGGACGCGGUCAGCGCCGAUAGCUUUGGCGUAUUGAUUCUCUGCGCUAGCAGGUUCCCCGAUAUUUAUUCUUUCUAAGCCUUGAUGUUAGGUCUCCGGGACUAGGUGAGGAAAUAUCUAUUAGAGAGUAGAGUGCCUCCAGGGGUUUGACAUUGAGGAUGUCGCUCUUAAUCCUAGGCUACGGCCGAGGAAGAUUCAAGAAUAGAAUCUGAGAGAUUCUUAUCAGAGGAAGCGAAUUGAUCUUUUUGUUCUAAGGCUUAGAGUCCUUUGUGACUACUUUCUUCGUUAUUGUCGAGGAAAGAAAGUCAUGCGAAAAGAGUGAACCUCUCGGUACUUCUUCCCUCACCCGGUAGCGAGAUCUUCCGUCGGUCGAAAUAAUGUGGAUUUGCUCCACACGUAUAGAAGUCCAAGGAAGAGAUGUCACGUAUAGAAAGAAGUUAGGCUCUCGAGUGUGACUGACGCAAAGGCACUCAAACGCUAUGCUGUCACUCCGACUUUACCCUUGCGUUAGGAAACUGUCUUUCUUCUUAUAAAGGGAAGGAUUGAUUGACUGUGUUCCCCGCGGGCUAAAAUGGGGAAACUCAUUAUGGCAGGGUGUUGUCUGUUCCAUACUUUCUUACUUGAUUUGAAGCUGGCAUCGAGUGCCUGCCUCACAUGCGACCUUCAGGUCUCUAAGGAAAGAGGACAGACUCCCCAAUUCUCGGGGGAUACGCGUUGUGGAUUGGUUGCGUCUAUGCUUUUAAUCGCAAAAUUUGGAUUCGGUUAGUCUUGCAAGAUGAAGUGAGUGUGCCGGCCCUAGCCACUUUCCUUUCUCCCUACCGAGGGCAAGAACCUUGUUUGAACGAGGAUAACAGCGUGACUCUAACCUUCUUUAUUCCCCCCUUUAUUAAAUCCUCCUGAACAGUCACUUUCCUUCCCCGUGGGUGGUUAAAGGUAUCAUCCUUUAGUUGAGUUUGAAAUAGGAUCGCAGCCAUCCUUACUUUAAACUGAUUAGUUUCCCUCGCCCCAAAUUUAUUAGAUUCUUGCGAAUAGAGAGCUUUUAGACGGCCAACUCUCCUUGUCCACCCACCGAGAUUCAUGUCUCUCCCUAUGGUGGGAACUAGGUAGAGAAGUCGAUGUUUCGCUCAUCACCCAGGGGAACAACGGAGCUAGCCGACCUCCUGUACUGAACUUCUGUCGGGGUCACGCUUAGGAACUAAAUCUAGAAUGACUUUUUGUCCUGUCGAAACGAUAAAGUUGUGGAGAGGACGCGGCAAGUGCCGACAUAGCGUUGGAUAGUUCCACACUACUUGAGUCCUGCUCGAAAGACUCCUUCUUUAUAUAUGUGACCUCACUCAUGAAACCUUAUUUCAUUUCGAUGUGAACGAAAUAAACCAUCUCAUUCCUGAAAGGGAAAGGACGAUCCUCGGUAACCUCACAUAGCUCGAUUGAAGGAGAGGAGCGAAAGCAAGCGAGGAACAAGUGGAUUGGGAGUGCCUCCAUGCAUGGAUUCCUCCAUCGAUUUUGACUUUUCUUUGUCUACCUAAACCAGGAAUCCCGUGCAAUAAAGGAGAAAGGCUAUCAAGACGGAAAAGCCUCACUACAGCUACUGAGUGCUUUUAGCAGGGUUGUCACAGAUGUGGAUUGAAUCGCUUUCAGCUUAACCGAUUGAUUAGUUUGUUGGUCAGUUUACUGAGAGCGAAACCGCUCUGAAACAGCUAAUGACUUUGACGAUUUAUGUACAUAUGUACUGGGCAUACAAUCAUCGUUAAAAAAAAUAGCCCUUCCUCACAGCCUAACCCUUAGGCAACUGCGUGAGGAAUGCGAGCUCUGAACUCACCUUUAGAUAUAAAAGCUCAGUUGUAGAAUUCGUGUAUAAAGAAGUCGAUUAGCAUGCGUCAGCAGUCAUUCUACUUUACCGAUCUAAACUGAUGUUGAUCUUGACUUGCGAAUGAACCAGUUUAGCGUAUAAUGAGUCAGGGCAUGGAGACACUAACCUGCGGUCUAGUUCAUUUGACGCGAAAACUUUGUGACACACAAAGAUCGUCAGAGAAGUAAGUCAAUCUAGUAUGGGACCUCCACCGGUGGAUCUGCAAUGUACGCCCAAACACUCCCAUUUCUUUCUUGGUCAACAAAAAACCACACAACUCACUCACAUUCUUCACUACUCUUACAGGCUUGACGGAGUUCAGCUUUCUGGAGGCAAUUUGAUUGUCUCAAUGAAUCAUGCCUCAACUAGAUAAAUUCACUUCUUUCACACAAUUCUUCUGGUCAUGCCUUUUCCUCAUUCUUCAACAAUUCUACCUCCCUCUGUCGCAAUAGAAAUCGAGUACCCCUAUUCAGUUAGCAUUCCUGGCUUGCCUUAGUCAUAUAGACUUGACCUGCUCCUGGGCAAGAGAGAGAGAAGGAAGCUUGGUUCGACCAAACAUUGAUCUUCAUCCCUUGGAAAACUCCCAUGUUGAUGUCGAUCCAGAUGACCUAUCCUUUCAGUCGGUUUUUGGACUAUUUAUUCGCUGCCACAUCGACAAUCGCCUCGCAUUCGGAGGCUCUUAGUGAUGUUCACUAAAUGGUCUAUGCCCUUAGAAUUGUGGCUUGGCCGUGGUAGACCACUCAACCUGUACGUGAAAGCGUCCUUGGUAGAAUGGUUAUGAAGGGAGACAGAUCUUCAAAUGUUUCCAGGCGAAGCUCGUCUUGGAAAUGUUUGAGAUUUCUUUGAGGCUCCAGUUGUGAACCGUUCCUGGAAGACUGAAACAACUGAUCCACAGUUGGUUCGUGUUGAUGAUUGGUUGACUUAAAAGGGUCUUGUCCUCAAAUAGAACAUGUGUGUUGGUGUUUCCCGGACAAAAUUCCUUGUGGAGGCAUCGGGGCUAGACCAGCCUCGAGCUUCCAGAGGAGUGGUUUCCUUUUAUUUUACAAGGGAUCACUCCCCUGUGGCCAUCAGACAUAAGGGUGGAACUCUUUCUUAGUAAGACUAGGGCUAGGGUGACUCAUUCUAUUCUCUCUGAGGUCAGGUAGGUGAAGCGUCUAGCUUAGGUAGGGGGACACGUCGAAUCGCUGAAAGGCCUUGGUGAUUCUCCAAUUUGGUAAUAUGAAGAUAGAAAACCUUCUGAUCCCAAGGAAUGCGGAUCUGAUGGUAUCGUAUAUAAGAGAAAGCUUGCUAUUAGGAGUGAUCCUUCCCUCUCAUCAUAAGAAAAGAAAGGUUUUGAUUCGUCUUUACUUGAGUAAAUACGGAGCCGGAUCAAACAGUCUAAUGAGAAAGCGUCUGUUCACGUCAGGCAAUGGUUUGGUUUUGUUGAUCUAAUUGAUGUCGAGAUUCAGUGAGUGUUCAGUGUACUUUAGUAAUAGUAUGAUGGAUCUAGUGAGUGUACUGUCUUACCUUGUCCACUCAAGGCAUUGCAAAAAAAUGAUUUUUGAAAAACGCUAGAAAUCGUUCAACAUUUUUCCAGUGCUGGUUUUACCUUUAUUUGGUAUACUCUUUCUCAUGUCGUAUAGCCGCAGCAAAGUCAUAAAUAAGAAAAUGUUUUCUAGCUAUUUGUGGAUGGGUUCGGAAGACUUGAGCAGUAGGUUUCAACUCGGUCAGCUGUCUUGAUGAAGAUUGACUGACAACAAGAAAUGACGUAAGUGAGAGAAUCGUUCAGUGGUAUUCAAAGUUUCCAUUUUUGAUUGAGAAAGCGGCAGGCCCAAUGAGUUCUCCUAUAGUGCCUCGAAAUAAGGCCGGAGAGUCGGUAACCUGAGAUCGCCUAAGAUCGAAUGGAACUGUCUUUCAUUGAGACGGAAAAGAGCGAAAAGCUUACUUUUAGGUAGUGGCCUAAGCGCUAACACAUGCAAGUCGAACCUUUGUUUUCUUGCGAGAAUUUUGUUUUUUUCCGGUAUGCCGCUCCGCCAACAAGGAGCGAAAGGACUAAGUUUUCUGUGGUGAUGUCAGAAUUUGCACCUAUUUGUAUCUAUUUAGUGAUCAGCCCGCUAGUUUCUUUGAUCCCACUCGGUCUUCCUUUUCUAUUUUCUUCCAAUAGUUCGACCUAUUCAAAAAAAUUGUCGGCCUAUGAAUGUGGUUUCGAUCCUUCCGGUGAUGCCAGAAGUCGUUUUGAUAUAAGAUUUUAUCUUGUUUCCAUUUUAUUUAUUAUUCCUGAUCCGGAAGUAACCUUUUCCUUUCCUUGGGCAGUACCUCCCAACAAGAUUGAUCCAUUUGGAUCUUGGUCCAUGAUGGCCUUUUUAUUGAUUUUGACGAUUGGAUCUCUCUAUGAAUGGAAAAGGGGUGCUUCGGAUAGGGAGUAACCACUAGUGAUAGGGCAAAAAUAGGGGGGAAGGACAAAGGAAAGAGCGAUGCCUACAUUAAAUCAAUUGAUUCGUCAUGGUAGAGAAGAGAAAUGGCGCACGGACCGUACUCGAGCUAUGGAUCAAUUUCCCCAGAAGCAAGGAGUAUGCCCGCGUGUUUCAACGAGAACACCGAAAAAACCUAAUUCAGCUCCACGUAAGAUAGCCAAAGUACGGUUGAGCAAUCGACAUGAUAUAUUUGCUCACAUUCCAGGCGAAGGUCAUAAUUUGCAGGAACAUUCUAUGGUCUUAAUAAGAUGAGGUAGAGUGAAAGAUUCGCCAGGUGUGAAAUUCCAUUGUAUUCGAGGAGUCAAGGAUUUGCUGGGAAUUCCGGAUCAAAGAACAGGCAGAUCAAAAUAUGGUACGGAAAAACCCAAAUCGAUAUGAAUGGAAGAUGCCUCUGGAACUCCUUUUUCUCGGUAAGGAUAGGUACGAAGUCACUCGACUGAAAGGAGAGGGAAUAACCACAACGUUACACCCCAAAACUAUACGGAGCCCUUUCGAAUGACCUAGAGUAUAGUCUACUAGACUAGCCAAGAAAGAGUGACGUAGACUAUAUUCGCCCGUGGAGGUGAGUGGAGAAAGCUGUGAAGCUUCUAACUCUAAUUACCAACUCGGGACUAUAUUAGUAUAAAGCGGCAUUAUCCCUUUACUAAAUCCUCCCUCGCUUGCCACCAUGAACAAGACCUUUUCCGAUCAAUUGGUUUUGAAUUAUUUAAUAAUAAAGAUGGAAAAUCCUACCAUUGUAUUUCCUUUUUUCAUUUGGAUCCUAUCAACUUGGAGAGUGUCUAGAUUAAGACACUUCUCGUAUUCGGACUAUCAAGAUCGGCUAAAUGAGAGUGUGGCUGACAUGGUAAAAGAACAAAUCAGCCACACUUUUUUGGACCCCUUUUUGACCGCCAUCAUAUAGGGGGGGCCGUAGAUCGAGUAUACACCCGGUACCCAGCUUCCCGUAAAUGAUACGACAAUGGAAGAUUCUUAGACAUAAUACCCCUCAUUACAGGAACAAGGGAUAUGGAACUAACUAAGGAUCUUAACAUGUGACAGGAGACAGGAAAAAAGUCCUUAGUCACUCCGCGUACGAAGAACCGCUUAGCAAACUCCAAAGCACCAACUGACGAUACUAACGAUUUUCUAACGAAAAUGGAACAUUCAGUGGUGGAAUUAGCUCGCGAUAACACUCAGUCACCCGCUCAUCUCUGAUGACGAUAUCGUCGCCGAGGAUAGCGUAGCGCGUAAAAGGAACUCCUGGAUAUACUUGGGCUGCUACGAACCGAAUCACCAAAUGGUGAGUUAAUGCGAAAGCAGGCCAAGCUCCGUAAAAGCCUAAUGGGGCUCCUAUUACAUCCAGCCUCUCACGGACGAAGGCUCCACAACACGUUGGAGAGCUUUUAGAUCCCGCCCUACCCUAAAACGCCCAUUCCCCUAGAGUUCCAAAGUGAUUCUCAUUCUCACCGCAGCCUUCUUAAGCCGAAAGAAAGCCGGGCAAGAAUCUCAUGGUAGUACGAAGGGGGAGUAGAAUCGUAUCUGGGAGUGGUUCUUCGGAUCGAUCACAGAUUCUCGGCCCCGUCUUUUGGCUUCCACUCCAGUUGACCUCUUUUGUUUCCAUCCCACCGUGAGAAGGUAGAUAGCAAAACCAACCCAGCAAACAACUAUUACUAUGCCCCUAAUUAGUAAAGCAUGUACUUCUUGCAAGGCUUGCUGAGCUUCUUCAUGUGACAGACAUCGCAAAAGUAGUCCGUUGAACGAUCGCCGAUCGAGGGCAUCAUAAUAGUCACAAAUUGUGGAACCCUGAUGGGUUUCGCAGUCGACCAUUUGAUAGCCCUGUUCUUGAAUAUACACAGAAUAGGGCUUCGAUGAGCCCUAGAUGUAAAGGGGCGUAAGCACUUCUACUUCUAAGCAAUUAGAAGAGCACGAAAUUGGACCUCCCUCAAAUAGAUGGAUCUGGGAUUGAUUGUGGUACCGAGCAUAGAGAACCGGGGGCGGGCAGGAAGAUAGGCUAGCCAGAGUAGUCGCUCUGGAGCAGGUUCUUUGACUGGAUCAAUGCAUGUAUGAACCCUAAAAAAAUCCCGAAGGUCUAGUCUAGAAAAAACCCAGAUUUUGUUGGGUUAGCUUUUUGGUAGGAAAGGCGGUCACAGGAAGAAAUGCCCUACCAAUGAAUAGAUUAGUCUACUAACGUCAAAAAUCUCUUUCUUCAUAUUCGAGACCGUCUGCUUUUAUAUCCUAAACUAUAGCUAUGAAAGAAAAAAGAAAGAUAGAUAUUCCCAUGGUAGGAAUAGGGCAGUUGCACUAAGGAAGAGAGCUAGGGAUUUGAUAAAGGUGAUAGGACAGGGUUCCAAACCUGCCUUAGUCUCAAAUAGGGCGCAAGCUAGGGACAUUACUAUAUGAAUGAGACUUCAUCCUUAUUUCAAGCGAUACCUCAAAUUCCUAAAAUACUCCUCUAGUCCCGAGCUUGGUAUAUAAGGCCGUGGUAAAUUCUUUUCUUCCAGCCUUGUUGUUAUAGGGGGAGUCACUCUUGCGUUCUCUCUCUUGGGUAGGUCAGUCUCGCUCUCUCUUAUUGGUAAGUAUAUCUGUUAUUGUAUUGCUGUCGUGCCGUUCCAGUAAUAUUUGUGAAUUUUUUUUUUUGAGGGGGGGAAUGAAAAAUGGUAAAUAAAGACCUUAGCCAAAAGCAAGGGAUUCCCGGGGCCCGAACGAUAGCAGAGGCAGCAGGGCAGGUAUUCUCAAAAAAGAAAGAAAGGAAAACAUACAGGGAGGUAAGAGCAAGUAAGACUAGGUUAUAGCAAGACAACAGAGGUUAGAUAUCUCUUACCGGAGGAAGAGGGUUCAGGUCACCCAUCCCCUUGACCCAGACACGAACUAAUCCUUCUUUCUCUCGAAUGUAUGCCCGGUUUUCGUCGAAUCUUUUUGAUCACCUUCAAAAACAAAUCAAAAUUCCGUCUUGACAUGAUAAAUAGUGAUGCCCACCUGCAGAGCGUAGUCCUCCCUGCAGCCUUGAAGUAGACUAUUUCUCGAGUCUGAUCUUAUCCCCAAAGCCUUUUUGCAAAAGGAGUAGGUAGCGAGAUAGAUGACUAAAGGCUGAUGAUCUUUGCCUCUUACUAGUAAAGGGAAAAGCCCUAUAUAUCGUCAUUAGUCAAGCCUAAAGGCCCUUUACUAAUAUAAUAGAAGGUAAGACCAGCUUUCGUGCAGCAGCUGCGCCCUUGCUUCUUGCCCAUAGAGAGUUAGGAUAUUUUGUGAGCUCCUUCGCCUAGCGGAAACCUCCGCUUUUCGGCCGUAAUCCCGUGCUUUACUAACGCAUUCAAUGGAUUCCACCAUGAACCGGGAGCGGGCGAAGACAUACAGCUUCCAUUUUUGGGGUACACAGUCACGUGCUGAGCAAAGAGGUAUAUAUCACACUCAUUCACAAGCGCAAGGUGCGGCAUCCGCCUGAACGGGGAGAGUUUCCCUAAAACAAAGAUAGGCGUGUCAGGAAACAAUGUGAAGUCACCCCUAUUUCGCUGUCCAGGGAGCUGUUGACUAAUGUCCUAAAAAUUGCAUGACGUUUGGGAAACAUGAGCAACCCUUCGUGCACGAGAUAGCAAUGACAGGAGAUUGGUCGGUCGGGGUCGAGUGAUCUCAGGGGUUUAGGGGUGCUUCUCCUACUGCGACUACCUCUCUUCUAUUUGAAAGGUAAAGGCCCACCAGAGAGAGGCAAGUGCUUUCAUGAAUGAAUACGGUAAACCAAUCAAUCUUUUCGUUACAUAUCAAGGACAGGGAACUAGCCCAGCUAACUCGAUUUCCCGAAGAAAAGAGAGGGCGCUCUUCCAAUAUUGAGCUCCUAGCUCUACCUCUCUUUUUUCAAAAGUAUAUAGAAAUGGUAGGCACUGGGAGUGAGUGAACUAUCCGGGGAGAAAGGGGCAACCUCUCUAUUUUCAAGGAAGGGAAAGGGUUAUCUGCUCAUAAUGAUUGUAGAGUCUCUCGGGGUUGGAGGUCUAAUAGUAGUCACAUCAAGUCCUCCCCCUCUUACUCAGAAUAGCUAGCGAGAGGAAUACGACUGAUUAUCUAUGAAAGAAGGCUUUGUUGAAUGAAAAAAAUAUUAUCUUCAGGAUAGAGAGCCCCCCGCCUGCCUUUUCAGAUAUGAGUGAGUGAGCAAUUUUUCUGCUAUGAAUGACCUCUCCAUUUAUUUUCAAGCUUGUUCUUGAAACCGGCCUAUCGCUCUCCUCUAUGAAAAGGUUCUUCUAUAAUCACUCUCAAUAAGACAUCCAUUCCCCUUUUUCAGUCUGAGAAUCCGCCUCUUUGUCGCUUACAGCCUGGGCGGCUCGGUUCGGCCGAGCCUGUGGGCAUGGUGUUUUGUCCGUAGUAUCUGAGGACGUGAUGUCUGAUUUUUGUUUCAUGGAAUUGUUUACAUUUGAUAACUGAGUAUUACUCAGUUGGGGCAUGUCUCAAUGGCUUGUUGGUUUUAUUGAUUUUCAUAGAGGCUUGUCAGACUAGUAUAGAUGUUGGGAGUUGACUAAUAAGUCGUAUUUUUUUAUCUUUCUGAAAUUCUUUUAUUCUUGGAUGAUGAUUACUCUAUUGAUAUUUGAGGGUUAUUUAUGAAAACCCUAUUAAUUUAUGUUGAAUUGAAUGAAAAUGGCUCAAGAGGUUAGCUUGGGGCUACUCGUAGACUCAAGCACCGUGUGAUGCUCUGGGACCCAUUUUUGGGGCAUUACAAACAUGGUAUCAAAGCCUAAGGUUUUAAGGUGUCCUAGGGAGUCUGACAAGCCACGUUAAGAAGAGUCUUGAUCAUCGGUGUAUAGCGUGCCAUAACUAUGAGCAAGAGGCUACAAGAUGUUUAAGGAAAAAUUAUGAUUCUUUCUUUUAGAAGUCUAUCGUGCUUAUAGUGUCUCUCUCUGCUAUUAAUUUGUGCUCUCCUCUUUCAUAAAUAUGCCUCCACAUCAAGCAAGAAGAAAUAAUGAUGGUCAAAAACCUCAACUCGCUGACCCAUUGAAUGAAAACGUAUCUCAUAUCGAAUUUUAGGUAGCCUUUCAGGAGCUGGCCCAAGCUGUUACUGUAAAUGUUCAGGCAAACACAGCCCCAACUUUAUAGUAGCAGGGAGGUGAUUCUGCUGCUGCCAAGAUCUGUGGCUUCAUGCGGAUAAGUCCUCCCAAAUUCUGGGUCUAUGUCUGAUGAGGAUCCACGGUUGUUUUUAGAGGAGGUGCGGAAGAUUACUCAGGUGAUGCAUGUAUCUAAGGAAUAUAGUGUGGAGUUGGUUGUGUAUAGCUUGAAAGACCUUGUUUAUGUCUAGUUUGUUGCUUGGAGGAAAGGUAGAGGUGAGGGAGCUGUCCCUAUAACUUGGCAAGAGUUCCAGGAUGCAUUCCUAGAUAAGCUUUUCCCUUUAAAGAUGAGGAAGGUGAAGGUGGAAGAGUUUAUGAACUUGCGAUAGGGCUCUAUGACUGUUAGGGAUUACUAUCGAAAGUUCAAUCAGUUGGCCAAGUAUGCUCCUGACUUAGUGGCUGAUAAUCGGGCUAGUAUGAGUAAGUUUGUGACUAGAGUGUUUAGUUAUCUGGUUAAGGAGUGUAGGUCUGCUAUGAUGAAUAGUGAGAUAAAUCUUUCUAGGUUGAUGACUCAUGCCCAACAGAUUGAGGCUGACAAGAUUAAGGAGAGAGAUAGAAUGAGAGGGAAUAAGAGAUCUAGGUCCGAGCAUCACGGGCAGGGUUAGACUAGAUCGCAGGGAGGUAAUCGGCCUCAAUAUCAGGAUCGUUCAUCUAUGCCAGCACCAUUAUCUGCUAGUGCUCCCAUGCCUAGAGGUAGGCAGGAGCAAGGUAGCAGGUCAUAUGCAUCCUCAUCCUCGUACAGUGCUGGCAGUAAGCCAAAUCAUCACCUGUGUCCUAAGUGUGGUAGGGCUCAUUUGGGUGAGUGUUAGGGUGAGAAGAAGGGUUGGUUCCGUUGUGGUAACAUGUGUCACAGAGUUAGAGAUUUUCUGUAGAAUGGAAAAAGGCGUCAUGACUAUCGCCCUCAGACCCAGACUCAGACUGUUAGUGCUCCAAUUCCAGUGACUCGUCCAGCCCCAGCUCAGGGCGCCUCUUCUAGCAAUGCUGGCGGGCAGUGCCAAAAUAGAUUCUAUGCUUUACCGUCCUGCCAGGAACAGGAGAACUCUCCCGAUGUUGUUACUGGUAUGCUUUAUAUAUUUCAGUUUGAUGUGUAUGCUUUGUUGGAUCCUGGAUCCAGUUUCUCAUAUGUUGCACCUUUGAUUGCUGUGAAUUUUGAAACGAGUCCUGAGAUUAUUCCUGACCCUAUCCUAGUUUCUACCUUAGUGGGUGAUUCGAUUGUUACCCAGAAAGUGUAUAAAAGUGUCCUGUUACCGUUCUUCAUAGAUUUUUAUUGGCUGAUCUGAUUGAGUUAGACAUGUAUGGACUGGCUGUAUUCUUUUUAUGCCUCUAUUGAUUGUCGGACCCGAGUGGUCCAAGAGUCUUUAUCUCUUACCUCAAAGCUAGAAAGCUUAUUUCCAAGGGGUGUAUUUAUAAUUUGGUUAGAGUCAAAGACACUAUGUCUGAGACUCAAACUCUCCAGUCUGUUAAUGUCAUCAAUGAAUUUUCUGAUGUCUUUCUGAAUAAUCUCCCAGGGAUACCUCCUGAUAGAGAGAUAGAGUUCGAGAUUGAUCUUUUUCUUGAUACUCUGCCUAUUUCUAUUUCUCCUUACUGUAUGGCCCCUGCAGAACUUAAGAAGUUGAAAGAGCAACUCAAAUACCCACUAGAUAAGGGUUUCAUAAGUCCCAGUGUUUCUUCUUGGGGUGCUCCUGUGUUAUUUGUGAGAAAGAAAGAUGACUCUUUGCGUAUGUGCAUUGAUUACUGCCAUCUGAAUAAAGUCACUAUAAAAAAUAAGUACCCCCUUCUGAGAAUAAAUGAUUUGUUUGACCGAUUGCAAGGUGCAAGUUAUUUCUCAAAGAUAGACCUUCGUUCCGGCUAUCAUCAACUCAAAGUUAGGGAGUAUGACAUCCCGAAAACCACUUUCUGAACUCGUUAUGGCAAUUUUGAUUUUCUUGUUAUGUCUUUUGGGUUAAGUAAUGCCCCAGCAGCUUUCAUGAACCUCAUGAAUCGAGUGUCCAGACCAUAUCUUGAUAUGUUUGUCAUAGUGUUCAUCGAUGAUAUCCUGGUGUACUCCCGUAGUGAGGAUUAACAUUCUGAUCAUCUCUGAACUGUCUUGCAAACCCUUAAAGAUCACAAGUUGUUUGCCAAGUUUAGUAAGUGUGAGUUUUGGCUAAGGUCAAUUACUUUUCUGGGUGAUAUCAUCUCUUUCGAGGGUAUUAGAGUUGAUCCCCAAAAGACUGAAGCUGUUAGAAAUUGGCUAAGACCUAUUUCAUCAAUUGAUAUCCAAACUUUUUUGUGUUUAGCUGGCUAUUACCGCCAUUUAGUUGAGGGUUUCUCCCCUAUAGAGUCUCCUAUAACUUGGUUGACCCAGAAGAAAGUGAAGUUCUCGUGGUCCAAAUCUUGUGAGAAGAGUUUUCAGGAGUUGAAGACUCGACUUACUUCAGCCCCUGUUUUGACUUUGCCUGAUGGUGUUGAUGGUUUUGUGGUGUACUAUGAUGCUUUAAGAGUUUGGUUGGGUUGCGUAUUGAUGCAGAAGGGUAAGGUGACAGCUUAUGCUUCUAAAUAGUUGAAACCCCAUGAGAAAAAUUACCCCACCCAUGACCUUGAGUUGGCUGCUGUUGUGUUUGCUUUGAAAAUUUGGAGACACUAUUUGUAUGGUGUCUAUGUUGAUGUUUUCACUAAUCAUAAGAGUCUGGAGUAUGUGUUUACCCAGAGAGAAUUGAAUCUUAGGCAGAUAUGAUGGUUAGAAUUGUUAAAGGACUAUGAUAUGAGUGUGUUGUACCAUCCGGACAAGCCAAUGUUGUGGCGGAUGCCCUAUGUUAAGUGUCUGUGGGUAGUGUUUUCUCUAUGGUAGACAGUAAGAAAGAGUUGGCUCAUGAUGUACAUCGUUUGGCUAGAUUAGGGGUUAGGUUGUUUGACUCUACUAAAGGUAGUAUAGGGGUUCAGAGUAGUUUCGAAUCCUCCUUGGUUUCGGAAGUGAAGGAAAAGCAAUUCUUAGAUGCUAGUUUGGUCAGACUGAAGGAGUCAGUCAAGGACCAAAAAGUAGAGUUUUCUCUCAAGGGGGAGAUAGGGGGUUGAGAUUGCAGGGUAGAUUGUGUGUCCUGAAUGUUAAUGAUCUGAGACAUAGGAUUAUGGCUGAAGCGCACAGGGCGCGAUAUUCUAUUCAUCCUUGUGCCACCAAGAUGUACUGAGACUUAUGGGAAAUCUAUUGGUGGAGUAGCAUGAAGAAAGAUAUAGUAGCGUUUGUAGCUAAGUUUGCAACAUGCCAAUAGGUUAAGGUUGAACACCAAAGACCUGGUGGUAUGAUGCAAGAGUUUAGUAUUCUUACCUGGAAAUAGGAAAAGAUAAAUAUGGACUUCGUGAUUGGUUUACCCCCUUCCCGAUGCCAUAAUGAUUUCAGUUAUGGUUGAUAGGUUGACUAAGUCUGCUCAUUUUUUCCCUGUUCAUACUUCAUAUACUGCUAAGGAUUAUGCUAGAUUGUAUAUCCGAGAGCUAGUCAGGCUGGAUGGAGUUCCCUUGUCUAUCAUUUCGAAUAGGGGUACUUAGUUCACUUCUCAAUUUUGGAAAGCUUUUCAGAAGGGUCUUGGUACCCAAGUAAUUUUGAGUUCUGCUUUUCAUCCGUAGACCGAUGGUCAGGCUGAGCGGACCAUCCAGACCUUAGAGGAUAUGUUGAGAGCUUGUCCACUUGAGUUUAAGGGAAGUUGGGAUGAUCACUUACUGUUGAUAGAGUUUGCUUACAAUAAGAGUUUCCACUCUAGUAUUGGCAUGGCUCCAUUUGAUGUCUUAUAUGGGAGAAAGUGUAGAUCACCUAUAGGUUGAUUCGAGGCGGGUGAAACGGCUGUGAGUGGUCCUAAUUCGGUAUUUGAAGCCAUGGAAAAAUUUAAGUUGAUUAGGGAAAGGUUUAAAACUGCACAGAGUCGUCAGAAGUCAUAUUCGGAUAGACCUUGAGGUUAAAGUUGGUGACCUAGUAUAUCUGAAAAUUUCACCCAUGAGAGGGGUUAAGAGAUUCAGAAAGAAGGGGAAGCUUAGUCCCCGUUAUGUUCGUCCUUACAAAAUUCUUAGUCGUAUUGGUAAGGUAGCUUAUGAGGUUGAGUUGCCUUCCGAGUUGUCCUCUGUUCAUCAAAUAUUCCAUGUCUCCAUGCUUAGAAAGCAUAUUAGCGAUGCUGUGGUAGUGGAUUCCUCUAUGAGUGCUGACAUUCAAGAAAAUCUUUCUUUUGAUGAGAUUCCUAUUGAGUUUCUUGAUUUCAGUGUCCGAAGACUAAGGAACAAAGAAGUUCCCUUGGUCAAGGUAUUAUGGCGAAACCAAUCUGUUGAGGGUGUAACUUGGGAAGCUGAGGUGGAUACGCGAUCCAAGUACCCGCACCUAUUUCCCGCGAACUUCGAUCAAGCUGAAGGUACCGUACUUUCCUAAAUCAUUCACUUUUGAGAAAAGUUGCAGCAGUUCAGCUAUCAUUUAGUAUGUGUUAAGCUGUAUUUUAUUGAAUUUAUGCAUUCUAUGUUGCAUUUAGAGUGAGAAACGAUGUGGUGAUGAGUCUAACAAAUGGUUUUAGCUGUAUGCUCUAUUCCCUACCUAAUCUUGGAAUGUCUAGCGUCAUUCUAGGAUGAAUGUUUCCAAGGGGGGGUUGAUAUAAUACCCAGGGAAAUUUUUCAUUGAAAUUUUGUGCGUAAACGUGUUGGGUUCUAUCUUCUAGAAUAAAUUAUAAAUUUUCCAUGCGAAACGUCUUAGAUUAUGACUGGCCAUUACGUAGAGUAUCAGAUAAGAUUUCCAAUGAUAUAUGGAUCAUCCAAAACGGACACCAGAGCAAUGAGUUAUGAACAUUUCGAUCGAACCGUGAAUAGUAGUGAACAGUAAAAUGUGCAGGAAAAAGUACUGAGGAUUGGCGUAUUUUUUCUCCAACUUUAAAUGAUCAUAACUCCAAGUACAUAAUGAGCUGAGUGAUCAAAUAUAUUUCAACGGAAAGCUCUGUGAGUCCUCUUUCCAAUGAAAUUGGUUUCAUCCAAUUUGUCUAUUGGAGCAAAAAGUUAUGGUCGAUCUACUUCAGCCUAUCAAAAGUGAAUUUUUGGGUCAACUUCAAACCAUCAUAACUCCAAGUACAUAAUGAUCUGGGUAAGAUACUAUAUAUCAACGAAAAGAUAUGAGAGUCCUCUUUUUAAUGAAAUUAGUUUCAUCCAAUUUGGAUAUCGGAGUAAAAUGUUAUGGUUGAUCUACCUCAGACUAUCAAAACUGUCAACCAAAGGACAGAUUCGAGAAUUAUUUGAUUUUCAGUGGUGUUUUGAUCAUUCCCUCUCACCCAAAAUCUGUCCAAACCUUAUAUUAAAGCCUAUUAGAAGUAUUAUAUGUUAUAUUUCAUCAAAUUCCCUCAAAAAGAAAAUCCUAAGCUCCUACAUCCAACUUCAAGAACCUCCAAAGUUCACCAUUAAUUCUGUAAAUUUAUUCAAGAUUCCAAGUUCCUAGUUCAAGAACUCCAAGAACCAUCAUUCAAAGGCACGAUUAACAUCUCAAAAAUGAGUAUCGAUCUAAAGUUCAUCAUUCAAGGUAUGUGGGGUUUUUCAACAAGAACUCUCUUUCGUUCUUGUGCCCAAAAGUAAUUUUCUUUACAAAGGCAUAAUUUUUAUUUGAUUUUUAGGAAUUUAAUUCAUGAACCCAUAUCUUAUGAUGAUUAUUAUGAAAUCUUGAUGUUUAUGAUUUUGAAAGAUGAAUUUACAUGUGAGGAGAUAUAAAGCAUGAAACUUGAACGAUAUUUAUCAUGAUUUUGAUAUUUGGGUCUUGAAUCCCCAUUGGAAAUUGUAUUUUUUUUGAAAGUGUGUGUUAUAAGCACGUUGAAUAUUUGAGAUAUUUUGAAUGAUUUGCCCUUUUGGUCUUAAUGGAGUUAUUUUGAACUCAAGUGUGAAAGAAAUCCACAACAUAGUUGAUUUUGAUAGAUGGGAAGAAUGAUGGCUGUCGAUGUAUAUUUAUAUAAUACUGAAAUUAUUUUGUUGUGGAUUAUCUUUGAAAUGAUCUAAGCUAAGCCCAGGAGAAAUCUUUAGCACCCUGUGGGAGGUAUAAAGCAACCUUACUUCCCUAGAAGUACGUUCCCCUGUAGGAGUGAGCCUGAGGCUGAUUUAUAUAGUGAUCACUAGUUUGUGUGGAUUUGAUAUCGAUAGUCCUACUCCGAUAGCAAGGAUAGGACGGCUCUCCCCAAAGUGGGUUGUACGUUGGACUCCAUGUAGCUCACAUGGUUUAUGUUAGUUAUAGGAUCUGCCAGUGUGUGUGCGUUUCCUUGUGUCUAUGGUGAAUGGUGAAGUGAUUUUAAAGUAGAAUUGUGAAAGUUAUUCUUUCAAAAGAUUUAAAUGAUAUUUACAUUAUUAGAAUUGAUAUUCUUGUUGAACUAAAAGUGAUUGACAAAUUGUAUGAUGACUCACAUGUGCUAUUGUACUUAUUUCAUCCUAUCAUGAUUAUGAUGAUUUUCUUAGGGCUAUAUGAGCCUUUCAUACAUCCUGCAUAUUUCUUAUAAAUAUUUAUGAUGAUGAUGUUUAAAAAACUGGAUACACCCCCAUAUACUCGGUUCCAUUCCAUGGUGCUGACCCACUUUGUCAAAUGUGGGCUAUAUUUUCUCAGAAUGUAGGUUCAGGUGCUCAGUUCUAGGUUCGACAGUGAUUCUUUAGGCAUGCUGUUCUACAUUCUCUAUUGUGGUGAUUCUUCAUGUUUCUAGGAUGUGAUGUCUGAUAUUGGUUUCAUGGAAUUGUUUACAUUUGAUAACUGUGUAUGAGUCAGUUGGGGUAUGUCUCAAUGGCUCGCAAGUUUUAUUGAUUUUCUUAGAGGCUUGUCAAACUAGUAUAGGCGUUAAGAGUUGACUUAUAAGUCAUAUUUUGUUAUCUUUCUGAAAUUCUUUUAUUCUUGGAUAAUGAUUACUCUGUUGAUAUUUGAGGGUUAUUUAUGGAAACCCCAUUGAUUUGUGUUGACCUGAAUGGAAAUGGCUCAAGAGGCUAGCUUGGGGAUACUCGUAGCCUCAAGCAUUGUGUGAUGCUCCAGGACCCAUUUUCGAGGCGUUACAGAACCUAUAUUGCUGAAUAGAGUUUAUAUUUAAGAGAUAUUGAAACCCAGGGUGUUAUGACUCAUAAGUAGUAGAACCUUCUUUUAGUUGGAAGUAUGGGUAUAGAUGUGUAUUGACAAGAAAGGUGGUAAUAACGAUUGAUCGAAUAUGUAUAGAUAAACUUUUGUAUAUGAUCGAUUUACUGAUAAUGUGAUUGGUCCUUGUGUGUUAGUAUUGAGGUAAUAAAUAUGGUACAGAUUCCUUGGUUAUAGGUAGAAAAGGAGUUAUUAGUUAAGGUAAAUUGUUGUUUGCUUGAAGUAUGAAAAGUUUUAUUGAUGGUAUUUGUUGUGUUAGAAAAGUGUAGGUUAUUGAUAAAAGUAUUGGGUGGCUGAGUAUUGUGAAUUUAGGCUUAUAGAGCUAAGAAAGAUAUUUAGGUGCAUAGAUGGGUGAAUAAUCAUUAUGUGUAGAAGGAAGAUGCAUUAACAUAUUUUAAUAAGGUUUGUCAUUAUUGGGUUGUUAAUCAUGUUAGCACUAAACAUUAAGUUUGAAUAGUAGAGGAUGAUAAAGGUGGAAAUAAUGAUUUCUUGGUUGGUGAUGCAAGUUAUGUAGAGGUGAUCUAGUAGGCUGGAAUAAUGUAUACAAUAGUUUACGUUUAUAUAUUCAUAAUUCAGUAUGAUGUAGAGAUGUUCCCAAGGUGAUAUGGGGUAGCAUUAUUUUCAAAGUUUAUUAAGUAUUGUGUGUUGCUAAUAGUACCCUUUAGUGGUUAAGUAGAAGAAGGCUAUCUAUAGCAUACAUAGUGUUCUUAAUAGCUAAUUUAAGGAGUUUUGGAUAAAUGGUGUUGAGUUUUUUAAGUAUGAAUUAGAUUCCUAUUGUUUAGGGAGAAUGUAUGUACAAAAGUGUGAUCUUUGUAGGAUAUGAUUAUGUGUUUAGUGAGGAAAGUAUGGCAGUAGAAUUAAUAGAGUGUAAGUCUAUGAUGAUGACUAUUGAAUUUGAAGGAAGUUAAAGGUGGUAUGUACUAAGAGAUGACCAAGAAUGAAGUUAGUAUGGUUCAUUAAAGGUUUGGGCUGAGCAAAUAAAAAUAAUGGUUGAAGUGCUAGUUUGUGUGAACUAAGGGUAUGGUGAUACUAGUGAAGAUUCUAAGAUAGUAAGUGUUCAAGUUAUUACAUGAUGGUUCUUGGGACUGUAGAAAUCCAAGAUCUAUAUCUCAGAAGGAGGUAGUUGUAGUGGGAGUUACACAUUAAGAUAUAGUCUUUUAGGGUAAGUUUAAUUUCUUUUUUAUGUGACUUUUUAUACCCCAGACUCUAGAGUAAAGUGAUUUCCGUUUAGAUUAUAGUUUAGUAAAAGGUCCCACAGACUUAGAGUGAUGGCAUAAACAAAGGGGGAGAUAUUAGAAUGAGUAACCAAGUCAGGCUUCCAUAUGAUAGUAGUGACGCCAGUGUAGUGUAGAAAAGCAAUAAGAGAGGAUGAUGCCAGAACCAUUCUUAUGUAAGUACAAAGUCUUAUACUUCAGUUAUCACGAUAUCUACUGAUGUCUUAUGUGUUAGCUCCAUGACCACAGUUUAUAUUUAUGUACCUUAUAUAAAAAAUAUCAUGUAUGCUUUCAAUUUCCAGUAUAAGGAACUCUAGUUCACUCAUCAGCCAGAGUAAUAUUCCUUAAAUUAUGAACUCAAAAUUUAGGUAAUGCAGCUUAUGACUUAGGUACUCAUGCUUUACAGUAUGUUUAGUUCCAAUACUUAUUCAACACUCGUAAUUAUCAUCAAAAUUCUUAUUUAUAUCAUCUACGUCCUCAGUUUAAAUAUCUUUAAUAAAUCCAUGCCUUUGAUAUUCUAUUCCUCAGUCCUCAACGAAGUGUCAAAGUUAUGCAUAGAAUUUUUUGUGCAUCAAGUCCUCAUGUUAUAUCCCUUUAGUGACCUCUUGUUAUGUUUAGAAAGUAGUGAUGAUAAUGGAUAAGCAAUGGCUUAGAUGAAAGGGAGUUGAUGACCCUCAUUAAGAAAGAUUAUUUAUGCUUUUCUACCUAAGGCUAGAGGAUGAGGGAAUAUUGAGGUAAAUCUUUAGUAUAUGUCAUAGUUAGUUGAUAAUUCUGAGUAAGUCUUCUUAAUGCAUAGUGAAAGAAAGUUGUUGUUGAUAGAGGUUUAGAGAAUAUGGGAAGUAUGCCUUUAUGGGUGGUUGUCUUGAAGUUUGUAUGUGGUUUUAAUGAUGGGAUUAAAUGUCUUGUUAGGAUGCGAGUGAAGGAAUGAAAUAUGCACUAGGGAAUCUAUAGUGAGAGUUCAAAGUUAGUCAUUAAGUGGUAAGGCAUGUUAUGCUUAGGCUGUGAGCUCUAAAAAGAUAGAAGAUUGAAUCAUUUUGUUUAUACUAGUAUUAUGGUGCGUGUUGUACAUUGUAAUUUCAAGUUAAGCUUGAUCAUGGUGAGAGGAUUUAGUUUAGUUUAGACUUUAGUAGAUGGAUUUGUCAUUAGGUCGGAGUGGCUGGUAAUUUCGGGAUCACCCAUGUGAGAAUUACAUGAUGAAUCAAAUAAGUAUGGUGUUUAAGGGUAAUAGUAUAGUUGAGGGAGUAUUUUACAAGUGUUGCUGAGCUUGAAAGUAAGAAGUUGCAUUUCCUAAAACCUAGUAUUUCUACCUUAGCUUAUGAGUUAUAUGUCUAUGUCCCAUGUUACAGAGUUAUAGCUAUGUUAUGACUCCUUAUUCAGAUAUCUCAUCCAGAUUAUGACCAAGAAUUCUCUUCUCCCUAAUGUUAUUAGAUCUUAUUAGAAGGAGCAUUGAAUAAAUACUCCAGUUGAGUAUAAGCUUUCAGUAUGAUUCAGUUCGUAUAGCGUGCAAUCUAGUUUAGGAAUCAAACAGAUAAGCUCCUACAGAUUUCAAACUUUCCAUUUAGUCUUACUACCCAAAGUUUCAUGAGUGAGGAUAUUCCAUCAGGAAAAAUGUUUGCAUUUAUGCAAAUUAUGAAUUCAUCUCAGUUAAUGCAUCAUGAAUUAGUUUUAGAUUCACCUAUUUAUUCAUGACUCAGUUCAUAAGUGUUCAUUGCAUAACCUCAGUUAUCCAAAUGUUCUAUCUCAGACAUUAUAAUAUGCUUGUAUGACCUUGGUAUCAUUACCUCAUGAUUCAUGUUUACAUAAUGUAAUUGGCGAUGCCUUGAAGCCCCUUUCCAUUGAUUCUUAUAGGUGUCUUGUUGAGGGGUAAUUCCUAAAUGAGAAACUACAUACUCUAUUCCAUCCCUAGUAACUCUUGGAAUUUUAAUGUAUCAGUUAGUACUUCAUUGUUCUAUAUUAACUACUGAAUCAUGGAAAGUUCAUGUGAGUUCUAAACUCCCAGCAAGAAUUAGUUCCUUAUAGUCAGUAAAGUCAAGUCAGCUAAAAAAUCAACUUCAUAAUAGACUUUGUAAAGUUUCAACUCAACUAUAUCCUUCAUUAAAAUACAUUUAAUGUCUUCAUUAUUCCAUACUUUUAGUGUUUUCAUAAUUUCCUACCCAUCAUUCGAAGAGGAUUGAUUCCAAGGUUGAGAUAAUGUAACACCUCACAUUUAUUAAGCUAGAAUUCAAACUGCCGCUCCAAUGCAUGUAGAUACGAAUCCAAUAAUUCCUUGUUAAUAUAUGUGUGAUGAUCAAUUAUAUAGUAUGGGAUAACAUUUAGAUAUUAAUUGAGGUCACAAAUAUAUACUAACACAAAGACGAGUUGAGAAUGGUUCUAUCGAUUAAAUUUUAGUGAGUAUUUCAGCUUGGGUCAACUUUAAAUGACCAAUACUACUUGUAAAUAACAAUUUACGUUGCCUAUCUUAUAUAAAAUGAAAUGUCAUUGAAUUUUUGUUCCAGCACACUUGGUUUCACCUUAAUCCGAUAUGAGACUGAAAAUUAUGCUCAUUUUACUUUAGCAUGUUUGUCUGUCAACAAUGUGACGACCUGAGUUGAUAGGCGAUCACCCAAGUGAUGACCUAUCAGCCAAGUCAUCACCUAAAACCAGUAAGUCAUAAAAUCAGUCUCCAAGUGGCGACCUGAGUUGAUAGGCCAUCACCUAUGUGAUGACCUAUCAAUCCACGUCAUCAACCCAAACCAGUAACUCAUAAAAUUUGUCUCCAAGUGACAAGCUGAGUUGAUGCCCAAGUCAUCACCCAAAACCAGUAACUUAUAAACUCAUCCUCCAAGUGACGAUCUGCGUUGAUAGGCCAUCACCUAUGUGAUGACCUCUCAGCCCAGUCAUCACCCAAGACAAACAACUAAUAAAAUUAUUUUCCAUGUGACGACCUAAGUAGAUAAGCCAUCACCUGAGUGAUGACCUAUCAACCAAGGUCGUCACCCUUGAAAUUCAGGAAUUUCUAUUUAAAUCUGGAGGUGUAUUUUGGUCUUUUCCCUCAACUCCCAUGAGUUAAAUAAUUAAAAUCGCAUACUUUUCUAUCAUAAAUCAGUUUUGAAAAACCCAUAAUCCUCUUUAUUCACAAGAACAAGAUUAAGAUUUCUCCUUAAGUCCAUCUUUUAAGAAUUUCAAGAACACAUUACAUUCUCUUAAAAAUAGUCAAGAAUUCAAAGUUUCCAAUCUAACAACUUCAAGAAAAGCCUUUAAGAACGCUCUCAAGGAUUCCAAAGUCAACGUAUUUCAUCGGAUCAAGCCAAAUAAGGUAUAUAGGGUUAUGAAAGAGGAUACACCUUACAUCCUUAUGCCCAAAACUAGUUUUUAAAGUUGAAAUUACAUGAUUUUCAAUUUAGGAUUCAUACCCAAUUAUCAGAAUUUAAAGUUUAUAAAGUCACAAGUGAUUUAAGUGUUAAAUUGCAUAGCCAUUUCUACAUUAUUUAUGCAUGUCAUAUGAUUUUAUAUAUUGAUAAUUGAAUUUCAAUAUCUUGACUAGAAUUUUUAAAGUAUUUCUAGAUUUUUAUUGAUGAGUAUGAAGUUGUUGUGAUUUGACAUGAUUUCCAAGCAUGGGUUAUAUACCAUAAGUUUCAGUCAUGAUAUUUGAAGAAAGAUGAUGUUUAAACAUUUUUUGAUAAGCAUGUAUUCAUAUUUUAAGCAAGAUUUGAUCUUUUGAUCCACAUCUAACAUAUGGAAUCCACACAGUUAUCCUUGAUUAUGGUUUAAAACAUACCGAUGCAUAACUGGUUUCUACUUAAACCCUCAUGCUAUUUAAGAUAGAUUUCCUACAGAAUGAGCAUAUAAGUAAGGGAGUAGUAUUUAGCACUAGUUGGGUAUGAUUCCAAGGUCUGAUGCCUCAGAAUUACGUGACACCAUAGGUUUUAAUACCCAUAGUGGGUUAAAUAUAGUGAUCACUCUAGCUAGGUUCUAUUUUGAUGGCAUGGAUGGAACAACUCUACAAACAUAGGUAUGAGACGUUGGACUCUAUGAAAUCUCACAUGGUUUAUGUCGGUUAGAAGAACGUCCCUAAUAAAAAAUAUUAAUAGAAAAGUUUAUUGAAACUAAGUGUAAAGGCUUAAAAUUUUACUCAGAUAUUAUCUUACAUUAGACAUCAGUUAUUAGAUUUCAGCUUUCAGUUUUCAGAUGAUAAAGUUGAGUCCUUUCUACACUUAGCUUGCAUAAUUUAAAAAUAGAAUACAAGCAAAACUUUUAGAACUAAGUGUUAUGGCUCAUAAGAUUUGUAUAAUAUGAUUUAUUAUUCAUGAUUUAUGAUUUUCAGCUUUCAUUUAUUCAAGCCAAUGUGAGUCAUUUACACUUAUCAUGUAUUAUUGAAAAUCUAUGUGUAUAUAUAUGGUUAUUCUUUUACUUGUGCAUUCACCCCCAUAUGCUCGGUACAUUCCAAAAGUACUAAUCCAUAUAUACGUCUAUGUGCUACAUUGUUUAAGAAUAUAGGUACCAGUUCUUUUGUAUUCUAUAUAUCAUAAUCCGUCAGUUGUAGAUUUCGGCCCGCAGAUGAUGAAUCCUCCUACUUUGUGAAUUUCAGUUAGAUGCUAUUCAUGUACUUUAUAUUCUUAAUCAUAUGUAUUGAUUAAUGGUAGUUGGAUUCGCGUCUCUGGUACCUAUAGUCAAUAUAUUAGAGGCUUCAUAGAUAAUCACUAUAGUUAAUGUAUUCAGUUUCUGUUUUAUUUUGUAUAAGAAGAGUUGUAAUCAUCUUAAUAUUACUUUGUAUUGAUAAAGUUUAGAAAAGAUAUAUUUUCCAUAUUCUUCAUCAUGUUUAUGUGUUUUAUUUAGUUUCUUAUGAUUUAUGCCAAUAUAAGGGUUAUUUUGGGAUCACUUAUGGUUCUAAGCAUCGUAUGACAUCUCGAGACUCAAUUUUUGGGGCGUUAUAGGCUAAUUCCCUUAGCUAGUGAUAUAGGAACCCUAGUAGAUUAAUAAAGUAGUGGAAGUUCCAUGUUGUUUUAGAUAAGAAUUCUUGCAUGUUCGGUUUUCUUUGACUUAAUUAUCUUCUAAAUGGGUGCACACAUUAUUAUCCCACCUGUAUUCACUAUGAACCUGAGAGGGAGGUAGAGAUUAGGAUUAAACAAUCAUAAUAAUGAUUUAGAGUUAAUUGUCAAAAUAAUAUUCUUUGCAUUAUCUACAUUAGAUGAUUAAUAUUCAUCGAAGUGGCUUAAUACUUAGAGGAGAUAGUUUAAAUUAGGAUCCAAGACAAAGGUUUGUAAUGCAACACUAAGAAACAAAGAGGAGAUUAGUGAAAUUCACCAAAUUGUGUUAAGAGGAUUUUGGUGAUACUUACUUGUCAGAUCUACAAGCAUGGUAUUGGAAUAGUUCGACAAUGCAUGAUAAAACUAUGGAGUUAAAAUCCAUGGGGGUACAACUUGUUUACCUUAAGAAUCUAAUUCUUGUUAUUUUUUACUAUUUUUGAAAAUCAUCCAUUUACUUUUUUGUAUAGCCUAUCGAUUUUAAAAAGUUCAAGAAAGAUUUUUGAUGUCUUCCCUAAUAUAUCGACCCCAGCAUAGUUGGGUUACUAUAUUUUUACAACGACCAUUUUAUCUUUAAAUUAGAGGUAUAGUUGUGGCGUGAUUAGACUUUUGACACCAUUGUGGGUAAUACGAUUGUAGUUUUACUAACUGGAGUUGUUAAGGUUGCAAGUUUUUUCUUUUCAAUUCUUCUUCAAGCAUAUGCUAGUAUAUACCUACUUUUUCGGGUAUGACAACUUGUCCAGAGAAAGUAUGGAGUGAGAAAGACUUCUUUAGUGAUCCUUAUCCUUUUUAUAUGGUGCAUUUUUCCUAGAGUACGGAAAAUAUAGUGUAUGAACACAUGGAUAGCUUGAUAGAAACAUGGGCACACCUUGCAAACAAAAAUUAUGAACUUAUUCAAGAGGCUGAUAGGUUUGGCUUGGAUAUUGACGACUUACAGGUAGAUUUGUAUGCAAGAGAUGCUGAACGUAACUCCUAACAAUAUAGUUAUGGGUUGUGUAAGACUAAAAAAAUUUUGAAAAGCCAACUUGAAGAGCUGAAAUUGGAGAAGUCAACAAUUGCUCAUAUCCUUAUGGAUAUUUUCACUAUUAAGCAGAGCAUAAGACUACAAUUCCUAAGUUGGGGCAUAUUAUAACUCAUUCGAGGCAAUUUUCCACAUUAUGUUUGGAUAUAAGAUAUUAAUUAAGAUAUCUAGGCUUAUAGAAGAGUGCAAAAAUGAAGAAGAAUAUGCUUAUAGCCUUGUAUUUGUUGUGCCAAAAUUAAUGAAUUACUUUUCUCACAUAAGGGAUACAAAGUACAAUAGGCCAUAUCUAUUUCUUGGAUCCUUUACUUUUAUACUUCUACCCCUAGUGCAUAAUGUGAAAUUCGAAAAACAUUUAGGGUUAAAAUAGAUAAGUCAAAGUUGAAAGAUAAAAUUGGAGGCUAUCUUUUGGGUUGGCUUCAUGAAGUCUUAGUAACUAAGGUACCCAUUUGCUUGUUGCUGAAAUCUGAGUAACAAACAUAGCCAUGUUAUGCUGCGACGUUAAAUCAGGCACAGAUUGUGAGUCAACCUAAUGUAUUUUGUAAUUUUUAUGAGUUAUUAUGACAUACAUUAGAUCUGCACACCUAUGAUGCCAUAGGUAUGUUCCUAAUUCUCUUGUUUUGUAGCUUUGAGGGUGAGGAUACUUGUGGGUGUUGAUGUCCUCUUGGGAAAUUUGUUAUUUUGUGUCUUUUUCCCGAUAUUCUGUUCCUUGUAGAGCAGGCAUGUUUCACCAUAUUAUGUUUUAUUUUGAUAUAUUUUGUGUUUAACUUAGAGAAAAAUGAGUAUCUAGGACAAAUAACAUGUUCUUUUUAUUUAUAUUUGAGGAAAGUAAUACCCCUAAAAAAAUUGUUUUUUAAUCGUGUGAUAUGUACAAAUGUGUGACUAUUCUGAAUCUUCUUAUGGAAUUAAAAUUAGGGACAUGUUAAACAUAGCUAACAAUUGCAUGAGCGAAUAUUUAGUCAUUUAUGAUGUGACCGUUUCAACUGUGUGUGCGAUACUACUUAGUUCCCUUUGUGUGUUAAAUCCAGAGCUUGCCUGAUUUCUCUUGCCUAGGUUGUAGGAUAGUCAGUUAGGAAAUGAUCCUAGGCUAUUCUUGAUAUAAGUCCACUUUUAGCCUAGAUGACCUUCCAUUUUUUCACCUUACAACUUCCCACUUUUGUUAGAAUGAACCUUUUUGGCCCUAGUCCUCAUUGGACAUUGGGUACCGUAACUCAGGUAAAUUGCCUAAGUUAAGGGUGGCUAUCAUUGGGGUACAUAAUGUGAAAAGGGUAUAAAAAGGGGUAAAUAAGAUAAAAGAAAGUAGGGAUGGUUGUGGUAGAAAAAAAUAAGAAAUAGAAAGUAAAAAAGAUAAGAACAAUUGUAAUAAAAAAAAAAGAAAUAAUGAAAUAAACCACACCCAACCUGAAUGUGCAAUAAAAGAAUAAAAAGAAGAAAAAAUGGUGGAAUAAAAGAAAAUUGGUUGAUAAGUGGACCCCCAAAGUAAGUAUACUGCCAAGUAGGAUUUGUCACUUACAAUUUCUAUAUGUUCCAUACCAUCUCCCCAUGCCAACAUUACAAGAUUAAUAAGCUCCUAAAAUGAUCCUAACUUGACUAUCUGAAAGCUUAGGUAAAGAAAAUAAGGUCUAGUAUAUGGUAUUUGAUGCGCAUUGAUUGAGACUUCUCUUGUGAGUGUGAGUGUUUGCAGAUCAUCCUUGCAUUAAAAAGCAUAAUUUGGUAUGAGUGAUUGGGACUUCUUUGAUGUGAGAGAGCAUAGGUUGUAUUGUGUGUUGCUUACUUGUUUGAUUGAUGUAACUUGUACAUAUGGAUGGUUGUUUGUUUCUAGUGUAAUACCAUAUCUUGAUUCUUUUGUGUCAUAUUUUUUGCUUCAUAUAUAUACACAAUUGGUUUUAAAGUAUUGAACUUGGAUAGGGUAAUGUCUUUAGAGUGAAAUUUGAUCACUAACUCCCAUAGGUUUCUUAGGUUUAUAUUAGAUAAGUAUCGUCGUGUUGCUUUUUUUGUUUUGUUGCUUGAGGACAUGCAAUGAUCAAAUUUUAGUUUCUUUAUGUGUCAUGGUUUUAUGGAACUUACAAUGCUUAAACUUAGAGGAUACAAAUGUACUUAAGGCAAUAUAGUUGUAUUUGAUGUGUUUUUGGAGUGAUUUUGUAGGAAACCAGGUGUUGGAAGCUAACCGAAAGAAAACGGUAUGAAAAUCCCAAAAAAAGACCACAUACUUUUGCACCUAUAUCCCGUAGGUACGACCUAUUGGGCAUAGGUGGAUCCAUAGGUGCCACCUACAACCCGUAGGUGGUCGAUGGUGCAAGUUCCUUUGAUCAUUUCAAUGUUAUUUUCUAGAGUUUUUUUCUAACCUAUAUACUUUGCUAUGAUAUUUUUAGUCAUUAUUAUGUACGCUUAGUCAAGUUUUCCUCUUUUGUUUAGGAUUUGAUUUCUAGGAUUUCUAUGUACUCUAUAAAUAGCCUUUAGACAUUCUUUCGUAAGAAUUACCUGAGAUAGGCCCUUAGGGGCAACUUUAUAUUAUUCAUAAACAUCUCUUUGUUUUUGAUUGAUUAUUAAUUUUGGGACUUUGGGUCUUCUCUUUCAUAAUUGCGUUAUUUAUUUUAUGAUUUUAUGUACGAAUUCCAUGAAUUGUCUCAUUACUAUGAGCAACUAAUUCCCUUAGCUAGGGUUGUGGGAGCCCUAGCUUAUUAGCGCAGUAGAGGAAGUUCCAAGUUGUUCAAGAUAAAGAUUCUUGCAUGUUUUGUGGUUUUCUUUAAUUGUAUUAUCUUCUUAAUGGGUGCAAACGUCACUACAAUAUUUUUGGCCCAAGGCUACACUAUACUAGGAGAACAGUUAUAAAGUGUUGCCUAAAAUAUUUUUGACCACGCUUUUAAAAUGUAGCCUUAAGUUUUAGGUUUAAGCCAAUAUAAUUUUAAAAAUGCUUGUAAAGCGUGCUCUUAAAUACUAUAGGCUACACUUUAUAAAUGUUUCCAUAUUAUUAUAUAAAUGACAUUACCUUUUACAAAUAUGGUCACACUUUUAGAAUGUGCCUUUUUUUAUUAUUUUAAAACAACAAUUUACAAGUGUUUCCUUAUAACUUUUAAAAUAUUUACACCAGAAUUUGAUAUUCCCUCCAAUACUUUUAACACAAAAAUAUUAUAUUCCCUCCAAUAUAUUUUUUUCCUCCAAUUUCUAAUUACCAAAAAAAAUCAUAAAAUAUUUGUCAAAAAAUAACAAAAUAUUUUUUUAAGAAAAAUAAGAUUUUUAAUAACUCUGAUUGUGUUUCCAGUACCCAGUGUGCCUAACAUAUUGUUAUUGUUUCUGAAGGGCCACAUAAAACUAGGUCAUUCCAUUUGCUGAAGGGACACACAAAACCUCGAUAACAUAUUUAUAUUGUUUCCAAUACUAGGUGUGCAUCGCAUUUGUUGGUGAAAACUCUAUCAGGGUUCGGUGAGCUAGGCAUAAUUUAGGCAAAAAUUUAUAGGGUUGAGACUGCCGUCAGAGAGGAAGAGGCAUCCCUACCACCGGUGAUGGGCAAAAAAUAAAAGGGUCGGUGCUUAUCAUUCCAAUUUUUUAGGUAUCAUUUGGAUCCAUUCUUACUGAAUUCAUCUUUUUGAUUAUUUAGUUUUUGUUAGUAUUGGAAUUUUAAUUCAAUGUUUGGAUUCGAAAAUGAGUAGUAACUAUAUUGGUGCUGAUUUUUGACUGCACACCAAUGUGUGAAAGAUGAAUUACAAAUCACUUUUAUCAAACUUGUACUUAAUUGACAUUGCGUAGUGUAGUUUAAUGCGAUUUGAUCUGAUUUGGGUAGUACAUUUGUUGGUUUUGAUCUUUUUGACAAAAAAAAUAGUUUAUUGAUUAUCUUGAUUUGAGUCCUUUAUAACGCUUAACUUACACAUCAAUUUGAGUGCAAGAUAGUCGUCGUCAAUAUAUUUACCCAACUUUGGAGUCGGGAUCGAAUCCACAAGGAACAAUAUGAGUGGCGAUCAAAUUAAUUCAAAAUGAUAGAUAUAGGUUAAAUUCAAACAUUGGUACAAAAAGAUAAAAAUAGGGGAGAUAUAUACUAACACUAAUGUUUUUAUUUUUUGGGUUUGCUAGUUUAAAUUCAAAUCUACGAAUAAUGAGAGUUUUAACAAUUAUGCACGGGUCUUGGGAUUAUGCAUUACUUAGGGACAUUAAUUUAGAAAGUCAAAUAUCGGUAGGCUUGGUUGUAGAUUUUGGUGCUAGUCUUUCGACAAAGCACCAAACUUUCACCCAUUGAUUCUUUCGAAUACCUAAUAGGUGUGUUCAACAAAUUGUAACCACAACCACAACCUAGUCAUUCCUAUUUCUAGGAUGAUAUCCAUGGCAUAGUCAACCUUACUUUCACCCUUAUUUCUCAUAUUGUGAAAAUUCAGCAAACAACACACAUAAUUGUUUAUCAUUGCUUUAGUCUCCACAUCCGUCUUCCAAGGAUGAUAUGGAUUCCAAAAGUUCACCCAAAACCCUUAUUUUGAAGAUGGUCUUGAACUUUCUAGACCUUGGAACUUUCGGUAAUCAAACCCAUGUGGGUAUUUGGAGUUUUUGCCUAUCAAAUCUUAACCAAAUUAGCAUAGCAAUGAUAAAAAUCAUUAACAUGAACUACCAAAUAGAUGCUAAUAGUAAAAACCCACACACACUUUAACCCCUAUUCACACAUAACCCCAAGAGGGAGAUUUAACUAUAGAUAAGAUAAAUAAGCAAUAUAUACACAUAAUCUCCAUUGAAUUAACUUUUUGAAGAUCUAAGCAAAUAUAUGUUCAAACUUGGGUCUUCCACAGUAUCAAAAAUGGAAGUGAGAAAAUCUUCCACUUAAAAAGUUUCCAAUAUAUUCUUCACCCAAAAUUUAUACAAUGUUUUCUUCUCCACAAAUAGAAGCUACAAUACCUAGGCUAAAAACUAAAGGAAUAGGGAAUAUGGAUAAUAAAUAGGGUUUGAUUGUUUUUUGCAUAACUUUGGGAUCAACAUGUGCAAUUAUAGAUCUGCCCUUGGGCUAAUUUACUACUCUAGGGCGCAAUCGCAUGAAUCUUGCUAUGACCGUGGCUACACGAAUGCUAUUAACAUUCAUAAGCGUUGUUAUAAGACUUUUGCUUGACUGCCCCAACCGCGGUACCGAAGGCUCUAUUUCUCCUAGUCUUCAGCUGCACUUUUCUUUCUCCCUUUUGAUGAUCUUAAGAUCCAUUCCACAUCUUCUAAUCCCCUAAACAUUACGCCUGAAAAAUGUGGAUAUUAGUGCAUUCAAUCUCAAUGAAGUCUCAUUUAGUCAUUCAAAACAUGUUAAUAUGCAUGAAUAAAUAGUUCGAAUGAGUUCUAAAAUCACCACUCAUCAAAACCCCUAACUUAAAGAAUUUUCUUGUCCUCAAGCAUCAUUACCUCUUACCAUGGGACACAAUUAUCUAAGCCCGACCUUUAUGCCUUAAAGAUCACAAUAACCUUAACUUUAAUCUCAACCAUCGGUCGCUCAUUUCGCAUAUGCUAAGAUAUUUUCACUACACCCUCAUCAUAAGAUGCAUUAUCGAAGGACGCACAAGACUUCAAAGAACAAUCAUGCAACAAAACCUACACUCUAUAAGUGGAUCACUCAUUGACUAAUAAUAAAUAUACAUAAAUUGACUCCUUUCUUUGAAGGUGACAAAAUUACUCACCUCAACUUGUUUCACAUGCCCACCUUACAAGAAGAAGAAUUUCACACACCAAGCUACGCAAUAUGCAACAAGGAGUUUUAAGUGCACAGCUCUCUACUCAUAAAAGAAGUCUCCAUGGAACACGUGUUAUACCAUAGGCUUGUCCCUAUUUUCAAUCGCCACGACAAAGAAAGUAAUCGGCUAGAGAUCUCGAAGGACAUACUAAGCUUAUAACGUAGGUCCAGGUUAGGGUAGGAUAUAGUUUGGGAUCAACUUGGCUACUACCUUCCUUGAACAUCUACACCACACUUCCUAAUGUUCCUUUUCGUCUAUUGGCCACUCUUCUUUUCUUUUCUUUCUUUUACCAUGGCUAUUUUUGCUUUCGUAGCUUACCCAACUUCUUUCAUCUUAUUUUCUUACACUUUUAUGCAAAUCUUUCCUUUGUUGGGUCUUUUUUUCCUAUUUCUUAUUUUCAUACUUUGUCACAUUUGGCAUUUUAGUAACACUUCGUGGCCUCAAACUUCCUUUCAUAAAAUUUCACCACCCCGAACUUAGGCUCUUAGCCUUAAGUUCUAUUUUCCAAGUUCAAGGAUGGUAUGGUUCAUAAAAGAGAUAACAAGAAUGGUUCACGGCUUGACACAUGUUUUCCAAAGAAAGGUCCAAAGGCUCAAACUGGGUAACUAGGGAUGAUAUUAUUACUCAGGUAGGCUUUUUAGGAAUGAGUGGGUACCAAAAUCACAAAGGUGGCCUAACAUCAUAUCUCUAACCAAGUACAAUCAAUAAUUAUCUUUAAAAGACUAACAAGGCAAGUUCUAGAUAAGACAAAUAUACAAAAGAUGCAUACAAAACACUCUCCACACAUGGCGUACAAAAUUCACCAAGGAAGCUCAAAUGUCCCUUGAGCGAGAGGCAAAUUUGGAGUAUCUAUUUAUAUUUACAAAUAUAAUUUAUUCGAGCCAUAAAAAGAGAAAAAAGUUUUGUUACAUCAUUGCUCAUGAUAUUUUUACAAAGUUUGAACGGACGGGGUUGUUCAUUUUGCAUUAGAACCAAACACAAUUUGCAACACUAUGGCUACUUCCAUAGCCUUAGUAUUAAAAUUAUGAUCAAAAUAGGAAAACUACCAUAUUGCUACUAAGACUUCGCCAAUGGCGUCAUAAGUAAUCUCAACUUCACAAUUUAUAAUGCUACAGGUAUUGAUACUUCCCUUGCAUUUUUUGACAUUUAUGCUAUGUGCACGUAUAAUUCCCCUACAUCUAUGCCUCACACCCAAACAUGAUGCUAUCCAUCAUAGGGCAAAGAUUAUCCUGCAUUAUCAAAAUUAAAAUAAAAUAUAAAGUAAAAUUAGAAAGUAGAACUUUGAGAAAAACUUGAUAAUCCGUAAAAUAAUAGCACUAAUCAGGUACCAAAACAAGCAAUAUCACUGAAACAAAAUAAAAGUUAAUAUGUAAAACGUCAUCCCAACUUGGAAUUAGUAGAAGUAUUUAAUGCACAAUUACCAAAACAAUACAAAUAUAUAUAUGCUAGGGUACCCCCAACUAAAAGAAUGCAUUGUCCAUACUGCCUGUGUGAGUGAAUUAGAGUAAAAAGGAUCUCCCUGAGUUUGUAUCAAGAGCACUCCUCACCCACUAACUCUGAUCCAUCAUACUUAAUAUCAUCAGUAGUCCAAUCAGUAGAGGCCUCAUCCUUACUGUUUAUCCUCAGUAAAGGUAUUCGAUUGUUAGGCUUGAGUACCUUGAAGAUGCUUUUCACUCCCUUUCAUAACUUCUUGAAGAAUUAAUCCUGCUUCUUCUCCCUUUUCACUAGUUUUUUAUGUGACUCCCUAGAGUGCCUGUGUUAUAUAGCUAGAGCUGAAUAAGGUUUCUCCAACUAGGCAAAAAUGGCUCCCAGCUUUUUCUUCUCCUCGCUAUACGCCUCAUAGUAUGACUGUGUUACAUACGAGUGGUCAGCGGGGGAUGAAUCUCUCAAUCCCUAAGAUAUUUUGGAGAGUAAUUCCCUUACCACCUAUAUUUAAUCAGAGAUAUCAUCAAAGGUAGUGGCUAAUGAGGGUCUGCAAGAGUAUGCGUCCUAUUGGGCUAUUUCUCCUAGGUCCAUGUUCUUCUUCUUACUUUGUCCUGGGGCACCCUAACCUUAAAUUUUGUGUGGGACGAUACAGGGAACUAGUAGGACCCAAGUAUUUGUGGCAUAUUUCUCCACUUGUGCUUUUCAUCAUAAAUCAUUAAUAAGGAAAGAGAGGAGAAGAUCCAUUGUGAUUUUUGAAGUAUCUCUAUUUUUAAUGCACAAUCUCUCCCAUAUUUAGGGCAAUGCUAGAGAGAAGACAGAAUACUAUUCGAGCUCAUAGAUAUGUGACAAUAGUCAUGUGGGUGGCCGGUGAAACUCAGCUACAGAUGAUAUUGACCCAAAGCCUAACUUCUACUGUGAGAUCAUACCUCUUUUCCAGUGCAUUAUAAAUCUACCAUCCAGGUACUUGGCUCACUUUUCUUCUCAUAAAACUGCUCCAUGUCAGCAUUCAGGAGCCCGUAUGCAUCAGUAAUCUACUCUGCUCAGAUGUUUAGUUGCCUUUCCCUAAUAGUAAUCAUCGAAUUUGAGAAAGAGGAUACACUAGAAUUAACAAAGAAUUUGGAUACACAUUUCUCGUUAGCCACACAAGGGUCCGGGGCAAAACACAUCUACCCUAUCUGAUUUCGUCUGGCAUGAAAACUUAGCAAUAUUUCCUCUAUUUUGUCUAAGAUGAUACCCCUUUCAGAAAGAAACUUAGCUCUAGAGUGGUAGUAUUUUUAACAUUAUAGGGUCAUGAAUUUAGUGAUGUCAAAUUCUUCCAUCUCUGGGCUUAGAUCUUGUAAACAAUGUACUUAGUUCGUGAUUAGUACUCUUAUGCCAAAAUCAUGCGUCAUUAAAUAGGUUAGCUCAUGUGGUAGUGGUAGAGGGAUUUAGAGUUCAUUGAGGUCUAUGCAGAAGUUUUGAAGUCUACACAAAAAUGUCCUUAGGUAUGGCGACCAUGUAGAGUUGAUCGUGAUUGGGGAGAUGCAAACGCAGUCAAAUGACCAUCAUCGUGGUACCUGAGACUACGUUUGAUAGCUUCUAUACAUCAUUUAAAUGAAGAUUUAACCCCAAAUCCAUAACUUACACUAGUCAUGAUGGCAUUAUUGCAGAGUUUCGUGACUAGAGUGUGUUUGAUUACUACCCUAACUAUAAAAGGGUUUGAAUAUAGAAUUUUAAAGGGCAUUUUAAUUGAACACGUCGUGUAUACCUCAAUCUAAGCGAUUUAAGGUAUAAUCUUGGGUACUCAAUACUACCCCAAAAGUGUAUACACUAUCUACAACAUCAACCCACAAAAAAAUAAUAAUUAAACAUGAGUUUGAUAAUGACAACAUUAUUUCAGGCUCUAUUUAUAAAUUACGAGGCCAAAGGAUGCAUUUAUAUCAAAAUUAAGGGCAUUUAGACUACCAAUUUGGCUGAUACUAUUGGAAUAAGAUGACAUUUGGGUUUCCAAUGAAAUGCCAAAAAUUAGGGAGAAUUUUGAGAGCAAAUGAGAGAUGGGCAUGGGAAAAUAGACUAUCAUAUGGUCAUUUAAAUUGUUUUAACCAUGAUUGCGGUCCUAAUUAUACAGUCAAGGUCAUGCGGCCUCUAUAGUCGUAGAGGCACAGAACGCGGUUGCAGUAACUGAGACCAAGCAAUCGGGUUUCCUUAUCAGUCAAACUAACCUAUUUUACCCAUCUUCUUCUCCAAAUUCAACUAAAAUUUCGCUUAGAACCAACAUUUCAUGGAUUGCACAUGCUUAAACAAAAAUAAAAUCAACUAUAUCAUCUGUAAAUAAAAAGGAUACAAGAUGCUUUUCUUGGCAUGGUAGGUUUCCUCCUAUCAAGAUCUUAGUUUUAAUGUCUUAGAAAGACACCCCUUCUACUUCCUUUUGUACGUCUACUUAGAAGAUUUGAAUCCCCUUCAAAAAUUUUGCUCAAUAGGAAAUGAACGACAGAGGGACAAAAGAUUCAGAUCUUCUAGGAUGAGGCUUGGAAGAGGUGAUAAAAUGGGAAGCAAGCUUCGGUCUCGCCAUUUUGAAGAUUUAAACCAUUUACCCAACUUCACAAUGAACUUUAGAAUUUUCUCCAUGGUCAAAAGUAAGCACAUCAAUGGGACAUUCCUUGUACUUUGGAAAUUGAAUAUCUUGACCUUUAAUGAAUGGGGUCCUAUGUGCUCCAGUGGAAUGUCAAACUCCAAAAUAUAUGAGUCUAAAUUCUCCUCCCUACAAUCUUCCAUUUGUUCAAAGGGAUGGAUCCUCAUCACAUCCUCUAAGUAUAUUAUUGAAAAGUGGGUUAAAGAAGGUCUAACAACUAAUGUUGGUUUAGCUUCCUCCGAAGCAUCUUCAUCACUAAACGAAAUAGACUCAUUAUAAGAGGUGAGCAUUAAUUUUUCUUGAGACUCUAGGUUAAUUCCUUUUAUUUUGGCCUCUUCAUCCUCAUAUAAGUUAAAUGGUUGGGGGGCCAUCGAGGAGUCUUAUCUACCAAUCUCAUUAUCGUAGAUUGGUUUCUCUUCUUGAUGAACCUCCUCUUGGGAAUCGGGAAAUGUUGUGAUAGUUUCCAGCUUUUCUACUUCGCCUAUUUCACCUAUCGUGACAUGUUGUCAUUCCAAUGCCUCAUGAUGCAUCUCUUUUACAUUCUCCCCAGUUGCAUCAACUGAAUCCAAAAUGGCUUGAGAAUUCCAAUUAGUCUGGUAUGUUGCUCCUUAUUCUGUUUAUCAUAGGACCUAUCAAACUUAUAAAAAGACCUAUGGUGAAGGGGUAUUUGGGAAGUCAUACCUAUGUCUAUCUUGAUGUGCAGAUAAAGUGCAAACAUACUCCCUAUAAAGUUGAGAUGGGGAUCCUGUCUCUUUUCGGGGAGUAUUUCUACAAUCUUUCACGUAGUGUGGUCUAUCAUAAAAAAGGCAAGGCUGUCAAUAUAGGUGCUCAAACCACCAAAUUCCUAUGUGUCGAAAGAUGCCAUAGCAAGAAGUAAAAUAAAAAUUCCUAUUAUCUAAAUUAGCAUACAACAAGUAUACUGCUAGUAACAAUGGAAACCCAAUUCGUAAUGGAAAGAACUAACUGAAAACCAGUGUAAUGUUACCAGGUUUUGUCGAGAUUGUAAUCGGUAGAAAGUAGAUGAUAGUCACAAAAUGCAAGCUCAUAAUUACGUACCAUGAAGGCAUAAUUACCAAAAAUGCUUAUUUAUUAAUCAAUAGAGCUGAAAGAAUACCUAUAAAGGCAAUCAUAAAAUUAAAUUAGUCGUGAAAAGAUGAAUAAAAAUACAACCAUGUAACAAAAUAGACCAAAUAUGAGCUUGCAGAAUUACGUAGGACCAGCCACGUUUUCUAGUGUAUCAUAUCUUCACUUUCUCCACCACAAGUUUUUAAUUUGGUUUCUAAAACCUUUUCUUGUUGCAGAAACCUAAAAUUUGGCAACAAGUCAGAAAAAACCCACAUAAACUACAUAUAUGUUAUUAUCAACCUCCAAAAAUAAAUAAAAUUCCAUAAAAUCAUGGUUGGUUUGGGUGUAGAGGUACCUACUGAUUAAGAAGACAUAUUUUUGCUCCAUAUGAGGAAUAAUGUGCUUAGAUGAUAGUUAUUGAAUGAAUUCUUUUAACUUCUCAAUUCAACACACAUAAGUAAUUACAAGUAUCAAGGAAAAUAUGUUGAUGACCAGCUAUCCAAAGAAAGAACCUCAAAGUUCAGGCCAUGGAAGGCUCUGGAACAAAUACCUCAUCCUCGUCACCUGAGCUAAGGAAGCUACGGAGUGGCUGGCCAUGUAAAAUGUUGGUUUACUAUCAGAAAAAGGAAAUGAAUUUUCUUUACUUUAUCUAAUAAACAAAGAAAAUAUAGCCAAUGGAAAAGAUAAUCUUCAGAAGAUCCUCUUACAUAAGCAGGUCAUAGGUUUUCAUGUUCUUCUGAUCCAUACUUUGAGGAGUUAAUACACAAUAAAUGGAAACAAUUAGCCCCAAAAGUGCUCCUCAUCUCUGCCAAGGUUUUGGUUGAUUUGUAUAAAACAUUGAACUUCUUCAACCAACACAUGAUGCACAAUUGAGCUAAUCUUUUUGUAACCCAAAAACCACCACUACAAGACAUAACAAUAAAUUUAAAAAUUGAUUUGAUAGCUUUUAAUUCAUGGGGAAAAUGACUACAAUGAAAGACCUACAAAAGUAGGAACAUAGUACUCCUCUUGAGUGAUGUGCCUCUUCUAAUAAUUGUGUUAAGAAUGUUCAUCAAAAUGUCUACCAACAAAAAAUGGUUUUAAUUUAGAAGGAAAGAGCAUUGAACCUUUUUAAUGGAAUUUCCUCACCAUCAUGUACCAAAACAAAAUACUUAAGAAUUUUUAAAUCCAUCACACUAUCAUUAAGUAGGGAAGAAAACUGAUUGGUGUUAAAUAGGUCAACAAAUUUGUUGAUUGGAUCUUCUUCUCAUGAAAAAAUCAACCAAAAGACCUAUAUUGUCAUAGCAUUAUCUUGAGAGGAUAUCUAUGUUAUUGAGUAGACAUUUUAUAGUAUUAUCUUACGGUUGGUUUUUUUUUGUAUUAGCUACCAGGGUGUUAUCCUUUUUUGGGUGAUUUUGUGUUUGGUGUUAGUUAUACUAUUAUCUUUACUGAGUCGAGGUUGAAUUAGAAACCACCUCUUUACUUCAUUUGAAGUAAUUGUAUGGUCAGCACAUACACCACCCUCCCCAGACACAACUAUAUGGGAAUAUACUACGUAUAUUGUUGUUGUUGUAAUAUGUUAACUCCUUGCAAACUGUCUUCGUUACUGUCAUUUAUUAAUUCUACUUUGUUUUUGUUAGGGCAUUCAAAAAGAUCGGAAAAGGCCGAUUUAAACUUGGGUUCAUCUUAGCACAAGUGCCAUGAAUAGGUAAGAAAUUCUUAUCAUCAACCAACACAUAAUUCUAAUAACUUAUUCGUGGCCGUUAGAAUUUACUAGUAAGUAAUUAAUUUUUUUGUAUGUUAUGAGAUCUAAUUUUAAUAUUGAUUUUCUUUAGGAAUACAAAUAUUCCAUCCAAGAUUUGGAUGGAUUUACCUAGGUAUAGCGAUGAGUAUGAAAAGGGUGUUAUAUCUUUCUUGGAUUUUGUUUACACUUAAGGAGAUUCUCAUGGCAAAGAACAUAAGUGCCUUGGUGGUCAAUGUUGUAAUAUCCACUUUAUUCCAAGGGAUGUAGUGUAUAAUUAUCUAUUAUCCCAUGGAUUUUCUAAUGGUUAUAAAAGAUGGGUCAAUCACGGGGAAUGAAAAAUCGAUUUGAAUGGUGAUAAUCGUAUGGACGACUUGAAUGAUGAUAUUGAGGGGUUUUUGAAUAAUCAAUUUAGACAUGUUGCAUAAGCUGAAGGAUUUAUGAAUAUCUAAAUAAAGAUUCUAAGAAGUUAUAUAACUUAAUUGAUGAGGCAUGCCAAGAUCAAUAUCUAGAUUGUAAAGGAUUCUUUAGAUUAUCAUUCACAAUCCGUUUAGAUUUAUUUAUGUAUCUGCAUGGAUGGAGCAAUAAAUCAUUAACUUCUCUUUUAGAAUUAUUAAUGGUCGCCAUGCCAGAGUUGAAUAUUCCUCCAACCUACAAAAAAGCCAAGUCUAUGGUCAAGGAUCUCGAUCUUGAUUAUGAGAAAAUUCAAGCUUGUCCUAAUGAUUGCACUUUGUUUAGGAAUGACCUUAAGGAUAAUAAAUCGUGUCAUAUUUGCAGAGCUUCUCAGUAUAUUAAACCUUCUGAAGUAGAUUGUGAGGUUUUUAAUCCUUCUAAAAAAUCUCACUGUGUUCCAGCAAAAGUUUUGAGAUAUUUUUCAUUAGUUCAUAGAUUCAAAAGGCUAUUUAUGUGCUCAAAUACAAUAGAUUCAUUGAGGUGGCAUGAUGAGGAACAUUCUAAAGAUGGAAAGCUAGGGCACCCUGCUGAUUGACGAUCAUGGAGAUAUUUUGAUAGCUUGUAUCAAGAUUUUGCACUAGAAUCUCGUAAUUUGAGACUUGGCUUGUCAACUGAAGGAUUCAAUCCAUUUCGGACUAUGAGUAUAUCUCAUAGCACAUGGACAGUUAUGAUGAAGGUGUAUAAUUUUACACUUUUGAUUUGCAUAAAACUAGAGUAUUCUAUGCUUUCCAUACUUAUUCCCAGGCCCCGCUCACCUGGAAAUCACAUUGACGUUUAUUUAAAACCAUUGAUUUGUUAGUUGAAUUUAUUGUGGUAAAGAAAUGUUGAAACACAUGAUGCUUGAAGAAAUCAAACCUUCCAAUCGAGAGCAAUUCAUAUAUGGACAAUUAUCCAUCCAUAUGCUAUGUUAUCUAGUUAGAGAACAAAAGGAAAAUUGGAUUACUCUUGUAGUAAUACUGGCACUAAUUCUUGCUAUCUUAAAUAUAGUAGAAAGGUGUGCUAUAUGGACCAUCGUGUUUUUCUAUCCAUGCAUCAUUCAUGGUGAUCUAAUAAAAGAUCUUUCCAUGGAAAAAUUGAAUUUAUACCUCCACCAUGUUUGUUUAAGGGAACUGAUGUUCUUAACAACUUACAAAGAAUGAACAAUGUGUUUAGGAAGAAGAGAAAGAGAACAAAUGAUGGCCUGAAAAGAGGUCAAUCUUUUUUUAAUUACCUUAUUGGGAGUAAAAUCCGUAACCAAAAACAUUGAUGGGAUGCAACUAGAGAAGAACAUAGUUGAUGAUUUGAUUGAAACUCUUUUUGUAUAUUUCUGGGAAAACAAAUGAUCAUGAAAAUUCUCUAAAAGAGAUAGGAAUUAUAAAGUUCCUUUACCCAAAAUAUACCACGUAUGGCAAGAUAAUAAAGAUUGCAAAGGCAUGUAUCUCAACGACUAAUGCAGAAAAAUCAAUUUUUUGUGGAGUUUUAAAGACAGAAAAGCUAUCUGACGGUAGUGGCUCAAAAAUAUCUAGGUGUGUGCAACUAGAUGAAAGAAAAUUAUCUAGCUAUAAGACUCAUGAUGCUCAUUUCAUGUUACAUUACUUGCUUCUAAUACAAAUUUAAUGCAUCCUUCCUGAUCAUAUUGCUACUGCUUUCAUUCAUUUUAGUUCCUUCUUUCGUCGUUUAUGCCAAAAAGUUAUCAUAAUGGAGGGAAUAGAUUACUUAGAAGUUGAUAUCAUCAACAAAAACAACAACAACAAACCCAGUGUAUUACAACACAGUGGGGUCUGGGGAGGGUAAGAUGUACGCAGUCCAUAUCACUAACUCCACAGAAGUAAAAAGGUUCUUUCCGAUAGACCCCUAGCUCAAGACAAGGAAUAAUAAACAAAUCUAUAAUAAAGCAUGGGACAAGAUGACAGGACAUAAAUACGCCACCCCCAAUGAAAAAUAAACAAGGAAUAUUAAGGAAAUUUGUAAUAAAGCCUACAACAAGUUGGCCUAACAAGAAUAAUACACCUACCAAGUAAUGCCCUACCCCAACAACCCAAACUAGCACUAGCCUUAUAUCCUAAUUCCAUCCUCCAGAUAUUCCUAUCUGGGGUCAUGUCCUCAGUGAGCUACAACUGCUCCAUGUCCUGUGAUAUUACCUCUCUCCAAUAUUUCUUCAGUCUACCCCUACCCCACCUGAAACUAUCCAACUCUAGCCUCUCAUACCUACAAAUCAUGGUAUCUGUGUCUCUUCUCAUCACGUGAAUGAACCAUCUCAAUCGAAUUUCUUGUAUCUUAUCCUCCACCGAAGCCACUCCAACAUUUUCCUAACUAGUCUAAUUCUGAACUCUAUCACCCCUAGUAAGCCCACACAUCCAAUGCAACAUCUAUAUUUAUGCCACCCUCAAUAUUUAAAUGUGAGAGUUCUUGACUGGCCAACACUCUGCUCCAUACAAUAUGGUCGGACGGACUGCCAUCCUAUAGAAUUUGCCUUUAAGCUUAGGUGGCACCUUCUUAUCAGACAACACCCCCGAGAAGAGCUUCCACUUCAUCCAUCCUACCCCAAUACAGUGGGAUAUAUCUUUGUCAAUCUCGCUAUUCCCCUAAAUCAUGGCCCCAAGAUACUUGAAACUAUCCAUCUUACAAACCACCUGGGAAUCUAACCUGAUAACUACCUCAUUUUCCUGCCUCAAGUCAUCAAACUUACAUUCUAAAUAUUAUGUCUUGCUCCUACUCAACCUGAACCCUUUAAACUCAAGGGUAUGUCUCUAUUCCUUUAAUUUAGCAUCCAUGCCCCCCUUAGUCUCAACGAUCAAAACUACAUCAUGUGCAAAAAGCAUAUACCAAGGCACCUUACCUUGAAUAAGUCUUGUCAACAUAUCCAUCACCAAAGUAAACAAAAAUGAGCUAAGAGUAUAUCCCUAGUGCAACCCUGUCAAGAUCUGGAAAUUCUCAAAAUCUCCUUCCACCAUCCUCACCUAGGUCUUAGCUCCAUCAUACAUGUCCUUGAUUACUCUGAUAUACACCACUAGGACCCCACUCACCUCCAAGUAUCUCUAAAGAACCUCCCUAGGAACUUUUUUGUAUGCCUUCUCCAAGUCGAUAAACACCUGCGCAGAUCCUUCUUCCUUUCCCUAUACUGUUCCUCCAGUGUCCGCACCAGAUAAAUUACCUCCAUCGUCGAAUGCCCGAGCAUAAAUCCAAACUGGUUCUAUGAGAUAGACACUAUUCUUCUCAACAUCAACUUGACCACUCUCAUCCAAAUCUUUAUAGUAUGGCUCAAUAACUUAAUACCCUUAUAAUUAUUGCAACUCCGAGUGUUACCCUUGUUAUUAUAUAGAGGGAUCAUAGUACUCCAUCUCCAAGCCUCAGGCAUUUUUGUUGACUUAAAAGUGCUGUUAAAAAAAUUAGUCAACCAUCUCAAGCCAGCCUCACUAGAAAACUUUCAAAAAUCCACAAGAAUCUCAUCAGGCCUCAUCCCCCUACCCCUACGCAUCCUGCGAACAACCUCUUUGACCUCCUCUACCUUAAAACGUCUACAAUAACUAAAAUCACGACACUCAUCUGAGUGCUCCAGCUCCCUUAACACAAUAACUAUAUCACCUUCAUCUUUCAAUAACCUAUCAAAGUAUGACUGCCAUCUCUUCUUAAUAUGACCGUCCUCCAUAAACACUUUACCCUUCCUCACCCUAGCCUUAGCAAGCCUAAACAACCUCUUUUCCUCUCAUUUCUCCUGCAACCCUAUAUAUAAGAUCUCGAAUGCUACCAUCUUGGCUACCAUAACUACUAACUUAGAAGUUGAUGUCAUAAAUAAUAAAUUAGUUUGUGCAAAUUUUUCCUUUAAUACUUUUUGAUAUAAUGAUUCAUUUGCCUAUAGAUUUGGCAAAUAAGGUUAGAUUAGAAGGUCCAGUUAUGAAUCAUGGAUGUAUCCCUCGAAAAAAAAUAUGUAUAUGUUUAAAUUGUAUGUCUGCAAUAGAAAUUGUCCAAAACGAUCUAUAGCAGAGGCAUAUCUAGUUGAAGAGUGUUUAACUUUAUUCUUUAGAUAUUAGCAUGGGGGUGUACAUACUAGGUUUAACAUAAGACCUAGAAAUAAUGAUGAGUAUGGCUCAGGUAAUGAACAAAAUUUUAGUUUGUUCCCUUUCAAAGGUUGUCCUUUAGGAUAAAGGAAAAAUGCAUCUAUUGCAUUAGAUAACAAGUCACUAAAUCAGGCACAUGCAUUCUAAUUGGCCAAUUGUUAUGAAAUUCAAGUUUAUAUUGGGUAAUUUUAUCAUUUAUAGUACUUUAUUUUUACGAAUAGUUUUUAUCUUAUUUCAUUUAUUAUUAUAAUGAAUAAUAGUACUUAUUGGGUUGAGAGCAUGAACUUGAGCUUAAUAGACAACUAUGAAGAUCAAAAUGGAGCACAACUAAGAUUCAUAGUCAAAACUUCUCUGAAUGGUUUGAAACUCGUGUUUUGCAAGAUGAUGUGCCUAAUCUGAUAAAAAAAUUUCUAGAGGACCAAAUAUAGUUUCUAAAAGAUGUUCUGUAUAUUUAAUUAAUGGAUAUAGAUUCCAUAUUAAGGAGAAUGAUGCAUGGGGUAAAACACAAAAAUAGUGGUGUUACGUUAUUUUCUCAACCACUAGCUUUGCAAGUUAGAAGGAUAAAAAUCCAGUUCAUGCAAAUUUGACUUAUUAUGAUAGAAUAGUUUCUAUACUAAAGUUAGAUUAUUAUGGCCAUUUUAAGGUUGUUUUAUUAAAGUUUGACUUAUAUGAGGUUGAAAAAGAUACUUAUGGCCUUACUUACAUCUACUUCAACAAGAAGUGCUCCUUGGAAGAACCUUUCGUGCUAGCAUCUCAAGUACACCAGUGCUUGUAUGUUCAAGAUCCAUAUAGUCAAGAUAAAUAUUAUAUUAUGAAAACUAUUUAGCGAGACCUGUUUAACGUAAGUGACCAGGUUGAGUCUAAUACCUCAGAACGUUAUGACAUUGAGCCUUCUGAAAUAUUUUUAGGCCCAUUAAUACCUGAUGAUAAUAGUGAAGUUUUAUUAAUAAAGAAUGAUGUUCCAUAAACAAUUAUUGAUGUCGAUACCAAAGUAUUUCUUACUGAACAACUUGAAGUUGAGCAUGAAAAUUAGUUUGAAGAUACGUAUGAAGAAGUCUAUGAAGAGGAGUUUACAAAUGGGUCUAAAGAAGAUCCCAAAGAUGAUGUUCAUUUUGAGGAUGACCAGCAGUUUGUUAUUUUGUUAAUGUCCUUUAAUGCUAGCUUCUCUUUCUGUUGUUUGAUUGUAUGCUGGUACAAAGAAUUUUAGACAUCUAAUAUAUAGAAACAUUGAGGAGAAUUUUGGCUUUUUUGGAUAUUUAAUUUGCAGACACAUGAUAUUAUUACAAUCUUAAAGUAUACCAUUGGUUUAUUUCAUGAGCAUAAUUAUUAUUUUAUAAAAAACGUAUAGUGCUUGCAUACUCUUAGCUCAAUGCAAUUAUAUAUUUUAGUUAAUGACCUUUUCUGGUUGCACCUAGCACUAUGUUUGUUAAAUGCUUAUUUUAUUCUAUUAUUAUUAGGUAGUGGUCAUUUCAAAGAUAUCGGACCAACGAACUUUGAUGCUGCUCUGUGAUACUAAAUAAUUAUACCUUUAUUUAUCCCUUCCCUUAUUGUUUUCUCUGAAGAAUACAUAGAUACAAUGAUGUGUUGACUAUUCAUCAGAUGUGAAAUAUGAAUUAAUAAUAUUCUAUUUACCUGUGUAUUGAUAUGCAGAUUUACAUUAGAUGUGAGCCUAUGACUUAGUGUAUAUGUGUAUGUAUACUAUUAUGACUAUAUGUGUAUUUAGAUUUUAGGUAGUUUGAAUUAGGACUAUUGUGUUUACAGAUUUUCUGUUUCUAUAUAUCUGUGUGUGACUCUUGCUAUUUCUUUGUGAGAUUACUGUUUUUUCUUUACAUAUUUUGUAUUUACACUGUCUACCAAAUGUAUUUAAAUAUUUUGUGUUUACUAUUUCUGUGUGACUGCUGCUAUUUGUACGUUGUUACCAUUUCUUGAUAAAAUAUUAGAUUUAUGGGCAUGCGAUGGACAUUCUUUAACUUAGUUCAUUGAUAUUGCUACAAUGUCAAAUAUCGACAGAACACAAAUUUAGGAAAUAAUAAGUGGAUAACCUAGUGAUUUGUGUAUAUGCAUUCCACUAUUCCAGAUCAUCAGGUGAUCUUUGUUGCUGCAUUCUUAGUAGUCACGUUUGUCUAGUAUCUCUCUUUUUAGAAUCAUGGAUAGUAAAUGUAGCAUUUUUUUGUGAUACAACAGUUUAUAUACAUUCCAAAACAUAUUCUACAAAUGUGUAGAAUAAUUUUGUCUAUACUCUAUAUGAAAUGACCCUUGUGGAAGGAAGGAGGUAGACUGGCAAUCUUGAAGGUAAGAUAUAAUAGGCUGUUUCCAUUUAAUAUGAGGAGUUUGAAAGAGAUACAUGGGCAUUGUUAUGGCAUCAUAUAUUUUAAUGGCUUUGAUCUAUAAAGAAUAUGGAGACUUUAUUUUUCUAGAUAUUAUCAAUGUCAAGUUUUGUUUUGAAAGUGAAAUGCACAUGGUAACUUGUUAGUUGUAUAAUCUCUCAUCGGAUAAUAAAUAUGAUAAAAGAAUGAUGAUGUUUAAUUACAAGUACCCACAUAAAUCUUUUUGGUCGAACUCAGAGAUGAGACAUAAAAACAAACUACAUAACAAGUAUUUUAAAUUAUUUUUUCUAGAAACAAAAAUGAUUAUAAAAUAUUUUAAGAAUCAUUGUCAAGUAAACUAUUUUACUAUUUGAUCAAGUUAUAGUACCAUAUUUGUUUUUUGGUGCUGAGUUGUAUUAUUGACAUGGUAGUCUUCUAGUCCAGUAUGUUGCUGUCAUUCACUGUCAUGUUUCUCAUGGCAGUAACAUGAUAAUCUCAACUCUCAAGGGAACAAUAGAGCAUUGAGAUAAUAGUGCCAAAAAUUCUUAGGAUAAAUUACUUUAUCAUAAUGAGUAAGUAUUACCAGAUAAAAAAAUUAAAAAGAAACUAUCAACUUGAUGGUGUUUGAUUAAUAGAUGAAUAGGUAUUGUUUGAUUUUUCUUUGAAUUACUUUGGCGUCUAGGCAAAUUUAACUGAGAUAGUGUUUGAUUUAUAUAUGAAUGAUCAGAGUUGCAUACUAAAAAUAGAAUUCUCUUGGUUGUAGAAUUUGAUGUUCUACUAAUGAUUAGAGCUUUAAAUGUGGUGUUUGUAGUUCUUAAUGAGAAACAUGUAGUUUGUUCAUACAAACAUGAUCUCAUGCUCUUUCUAUAGUGUUACUUUGAUGAUGCUUAUGUUCAUGUUUUCACUUCCUCCCAUAAGAAAAGGAUGUUUAUAUUUAUUCCAACUGGUUUUUGGUAGACAAUAAUCAAGUGUUUCUCCAUUUAUGUAACAGGUGUAUUAAGAUAUCCAUUGUUUAUCAUAACAUUAGAACUAAUCGUAUACACGUAAUGUAUGCUAAUAUAUCAUGAUGAUAUAAGUAUCUAGUGGCUAGUUAGUCCUUAAAAAUUUCUUAAUCACUACGUAUAUAAUAUUUAUGUAGAUUUCUAAAAAUAUUUGAACUAAGGAUCAACUACAAGCAGAUAAUUUUAGGAUGUAAACAGGGAGAUUGGUACACAAAAAAAUGCAUCCUUUCUACUGUUCUUGAGAAAUAUCAAUUGCCAUGUACUUCUCUCUGGUUCACCAGAUGUUGGUUUAUUCUUCACAAAUUACUAAACAGAGAGAUUCAUAAUGUUGUGGCACUGAGACAUAUAUAUUUGCAUUUUCUUCCUUAACCUCCUUGAUACUAUUCAGUGCGUCUCUUUUGAUAUUAGAUAAACAAUCUUUUAAUUAGUUUUGAUCGUCAUAUUUAGCUUAAACAUGUCAUUUUGUUGUUAACAGGUGAUACUUGCAUACUUUACUUUUUCUCUAUAUUGCUCGAACUUUUUCCUGCAUCUCUUGAUCUACCUCUUUCAAACAGGCCACAUCCUCAAAACUAGUAGUGGGCAUCUACUUUUUAUUCGAUUUACUUAAGUUGGAAAGAUUAAUUUUAUAUCAUUUGAGUGAACUAUUACUCUUUGCCUCAUUUUUCAAUUAAUAAGAAUGAAAUAGGUAACAACUCUAAAGAAAAAGGUUUCAAAUCCGAACAAAGCUCAAAGUCCUCUGAAUAAUAUGAAUCCUUAUACUCAAUACUGUUCAAGUGCUGAACUAGUGAAAGAAUAUAAGAUUAAGACAGAACAACAUGCAAAAUAACACAAUGAUAAAAUUAGGAAAGCUCAGGCUCCGAUGACACAUAAAAGAAAGUAUCUUGAGGAUUCCAUUGUACAACAAGGAAAGAGUAUAUUUCAUGUUCAUAAGUCAUGAUCCAAUCAUCCUUAAGGGAAGAGAUUAAUUAUUUAUAUAUGAUCAUUGGAAAAGGACAAAACAAACAACAACUAUUUCAACCUCAAUUUGGAGAGCCCAUGAAAAAGAGAGGAGUUGAAUUACCUAUAAAAAACAUAAUGUUCCAAGUGUUUUGAAGGCUGAUGUUAAUACAUCAGAUAUCAUUGGAAGAUCACAAGUUGAAAAAAAAGAAACAACAUGCUAUUAAAGAGCUAGAAAAUUACAAACACAUGGAGAGGAAGUCAGUCCAACCAUCAAAUAGUCUUGAUAAGUUUCUAGAAAAAUAAGGGAUACACAUAAGAGGUGAAAAAGAACAUGUUAUUCACACGACAUAUGGUGUUAGAGUUUUGCCCACUAAAGAUCUAAAUGAACAUGAUAAGUUAUUGGAUGAUCCUGCGGAACAAGAGAAAAUUGGUGAAGAUGGGUGUUAAAUAGUUAUGAGGAUAUGAAUAUUGAUUUUAGUACAAAUAGUAUGUCUUGAAUACUAUAAUUUUAUUCCUUAAUGUAUUUAUUUCUUAUUUCUUGGUUGUUACAUCAAUCUAGGGGUGCCACAGAACAAAAAUGUUUGAGGCAAACAACAUGCAAGGAAAUUCAUGCGAAAAUUAUAGAUGAAAAAGAGAUGGUGACAUUUAACCUAGGGCAAGUAGUGGGAUCAACUGACAAGGUAGUUUCAAAUUUAAGCAGCUUCAUAGGAAUAGUUGGCAUGUUAUUCCAAAUGAAACUAAAAAUCAACUGUGGGAUUUUGUAAAUGUAAUAAAAAUUAAUAUUUGAUAUUAUACAUAUAUUAUGUUUAUUACUAACCGUAGCUUAAUAUAUUUAUUUUGUAUAGUCAAAAUUCUUGAUUCUAAAGGAACGACUGAAAUGGGUGGUGCAUGGUCUUCCUGAUGCUUGGAGGUGAUGCAUGAAAUAAUUUAAAUUUAGAUGUUUUGAUAAAAAAACUUACUGUUGAUGAAAUUCUACCAAAACAUUUCGAUGGUGUUCCAACUGUUCACUUACGUCAGUUGAUUGAGUAUUGGAAGCUUCCAGAUGUUAAAGUAAGAUUAAGAUAAUGCAUAACUACACUUGACAAAUUUUGCAUAUUUAAUUUACGUUCUCUUUUUUAGAUCUUGAGCAAGGUAAAUUCUUAAAAUAGGAAAACACAAAAGUGAAGACAUCGAAUGGGACCUGUUAUUUUGGAAGAGUACGCGUGGCAUUGGUAAUAUUUAGUAGACGUUUUAAAAUAAAAAUCUAUUUUUCAAUUUAUUUUUUACUUUUUUAUAACAUAUUGAUAUUUUUUUAAAUUUAAUUUGAUAAAAUUUGUAGCAUGGGACCAAAAUAAAUAAUGAGUAACCGUCAAAAGAUUAAAUGUUUGAUGCAACUCANNNNNNNNNNNNNNNNNNNNNNNNNNAGAGUUUUGGCAAAUACCCAAAUUACAAUAGUAAGUAAUUGGUUUUAACAAAACUAAGUUCAUAUUUGGUGAGCGAAAUACAAGAUUAUGGUGACAUAUACGUAGAUGUUUACACCUUUAUGUAUGCUCUCUCAUAACUCAUUUGUUUUUGUGCAUUAUAAAUUUCUUCUCAUGAAAGCUAUUGUGUUACUUUUUGAUACUCUGAACUUUAAAAUCAUCAAAAUAUUGGGAAAACAGAAGAUGAUGCCUUCACAGAAGUGUUUGCAAAGGAGAAGAAUAGUCGAAUUAGAGGCCAUGGUAGAUGUAACCCUUCGCUACUUCUAGAAAACUUGCAAAUGGUUUUGCGUAGAAAAAUGUAUUGAGGAAAUUUAGUGGGUGAAUGCUCCAAUUAUUUUUCCAGAAUAACAAAAUUGAUUCUCUUGAUAAAUGAAAUAUAUUGCUAUGAUCAAAUUUUUAGUAACCCUUAUUCCCAAUGACAAUGGUGCUUCACAAGCUUUAAGAUGUUCUCUUAUGUUAGGAACACUUUUUGUGAGUUCAAAAAUUAUCAUCUUUGAACUGAAUGAGUCCCAACAAGUUUUCUUUUCAAAUUUCUCGAUCUGUAUUCUUUACUACACUUCAUCAAAGAACAUCCUUGCAUUUCUCUUUUGCAUGUUUAUAUUAGUCAUGUUACAGUCCCCUAUGUCAGCAAUAGUAUUUCCUUAAUAAGGGAAUUUUAUUGAUUGUGGAGGGUGAUUUAAGCCGAUCUCCCCUUGUUUAGUUAUCUUAUAUAUGUCUUCUUCCUUGUUGACCAUAUUGUAAAUGAUUAUGCUAACUGGUAUCUCAACGUUGGUUUGGUCUCUCUUAUUUUUUCUGGGUGUUCCUACUAAACUAAAUGACUUAAACUAGUGAGUAAGCUAAUUUAGGUAAUCUAAAUCAAAAGAAAAUUACCCAAGCCCUACAGUAGGCGCCAAACUGUUAGACAAAAAUUAUCCUAGAUUGCUUUAUACUUAGCUGGGGAUCUAUUUGGAAUAACAUCUCUAUCUAACAUUGAGAUAGAGGUAUGGACUGUGUACACUCACCCUCCCCACAUCCCACUCGGUGGGAAUUUACGGGGUAUGUUGUUGUUGUUGUUCUUGAGCAUAAUUUUACUUCUAAUUAUUAUUUAUUUAAAGUAUGUAGGAUCAAUGUAGGGAAUUAAAUUUUUAUGGUGGGUACCAAAACUCAAUUUUAUCAAGAUUGAAUUGAAUGAUGAAGAAUUUUUGAAAUAUUUUGAUAUACUUUUAUAUACAUUUGGUUUUGUGUGGAACUUGGUACAAAUUUUUAUUAUACUGUCUUCUAAUUAGUAUGUAAAAGGCAUGUUAUUUUGAAAUCAAAUCUAUGCACUUCAAUUAUUUAUAACUAGUGUGUAAGAUUUUUUUUAUA